GGGGAGGGCCUAAGGUGUUGGCUCAGCUGGUUUAGGCGUGAGCAGAAGGAUUGUCCCCUCAUAUAAGGACCGGUUUGUCAUCUUUCACUACCUGUACUCCUAAAUAGUACAACCACUCGAGACUGUGUGGAUAGUCACUCAAUCCGAACUCGUACGGUCCGACCCCAGGGUUAUGAAGGCUGGGGAGCACCGGGAGGAUAAGGAGGGGGAAUGUUUUGUCCGGUUUGGACAUGGCGGUGGCCUGACUCCUUCCGGUAUAACCGUUAAGGUUAGGACGUGCGAGGAAAGAAAGAGAUCCGGCAUUCGGGUCUCGCGACGGUGAGAUCGCAGAAACCGGACUAGUGGGUAAAGUGUACCCCUCUGCGCAGAGUUGAAACCUAUUCGAAUAGUCCGUGUCCACUGGUAUGGACGAGUCUGGUGUGGUAUGACAAUUAGAGAUUUUUUAUAACCUCCGUGAACAGGGAAAUGUGUGUGUAAAUGCGUUCAGAAAAAGAAAACAAGGCCACGGGAGCGGGAAGCUCAGUGGUGGUUGAGUAUUUUGUUACCUUUAAGUCUUUGGGAAAAACCUUACAGCAACUGCCUUUCUCUAAGAAAAAGAAGAGUGACUUCAACCCCACCAAAUAAAGCAUGUAUGAUAUAGGUCUCUUUCUCUUUACGGGAGUGGGGUGGGCUUGCAGAAUACCUAGUGUAUUCACCCAGAUUUAUUUAUGUUUUUCAGCAGCCGAAGAUUUCUUUUCUGCUAUGCUUGAUUGAGAGGGUUGUGUCUGCACCCAGUUCUGCCUGUGGCUUGGGCUAGUAUACUUUCUACUGCACUCUUUAUAUUCUGGCUCUCUCGAGCUUGUACCCCGGUAUUGUAAUAACUUUUAUUUAAACUCUGUACUAUUUGAAGUAAGGAAUGUGGUUACUAGCCUCCUGGGACUAGUAAUUGUAUCACAUUUGAGUCCCAAAGGAUCGGGACGCUUCAAAAGGUUUGGGAAAGAUAGCCAUCACAAGUGAGCACUAUAUUUCAAAUGUAUUUUUAGUAGAGUCAUUAGGAUACAACCUCCUGUCUAUAAGUCAAUUGUGCCACAUGGCUACAAUUGUUUGUUCACAAAUGUUGAUGUUUCUGUCUUUAGAAGGAGUGAUGGUUCAUUAGCGUUUAAGGGUGUAUUAGACGGCAAACUCUACUUAGUUGAUUUUAUGAAAGAGGAGGCCGAUCUAGAUGCAUGCUUAAUAGCUAAGACUAGUAUGGGCUGGCUGUGGCAUCGCCGUCUAGCACAUGUUGGGAUGAAGAACGUUCAUAAACUCCUAAAGGGAGAACAUGUGUUAGGACUAACCAAUGUAUGUUUUGAAAAAGAUAGACCUUGUGCAGCUUGUCAGGCAGGGAAACAGGUGGGAAGCACUCAUCACAACAAGAAUGUGAUGACAACAUCAAGACCACUGGAGCCUCUUCACAUGGACCUCUUCGGACCCGUCGCCUACCUUAGCAUCGGGGGAAGUAAGUAUGGUCUAGUAAUUGUUGAUGAUUUUUCCCGCUUCACUUGGGUGUUCUUUUUGCAGGAUAAAUCAGAAACCCAAGGGACCCUAAAGCGCUUUCUAAGGAGGGCUCAAAAUGGAUUUGAGCUCAAGUUGAAAAAGAUAAGAAGCGACAACGGGUCCGAGUUCAAGAACCUACAAGUUGAGGAGUAUCUUGAGGAGGAAGGCGUCAAGCACGAAUUCUCCGCUCCCUACACACCACAGCAAAACGGUGUGGUAGAGAGGAAGAACAGGACACUUAUCGACAUGGCGAGGACGAUGCUUGGAGAAUUCAAGACGCUCGAGCGGUUUUGGUCGGAAGCUGUGAACACAGCUUGCCACGCCAUAAACCGGCUCUACCUACAUCUUCUCCUCAAGAAGACCUCCUACGAACUCCUUACCGGUAACAAACCCAACGUUUCAUACUUUCGUGUAUUUGGGAGCAAAUGUUAUAUUCUAGUGAAGAAAAGUAGAAAUUCUAAGUUUGCUCCCAAAGCUGUAGAAGGGUUUUUGUUAGGUUAUGACUCAAAUACAAAGGCGUACAGGGUCUUCAACAAAUCAUCGGGUUUGGUUGAAGUCUCUAGCGACAUUGUAUUUGAUGAGACUAAUGGCUCUCCAAGAGAGAAAGUUGUUGAUCUUGAUGAUAUAGAUGAAGAAGAUGUUCCAACGGCCGCCAUACGCACCACGGCAAUUGGAGAUGUGCGACCACAGGAACAAAUGGAACAAGAUCAACCUUCUUCCUCAACAAUGGUGCAUCCCCCAACUCAAGACGAUGAACAGGUUCAUCAAGAAGACACGUGUGAUCAAGGGGGAGCACAAGAUGAUCAUGUUAUGGAGGAAGAAGCACCUCAAGCCCCUCCAACUCAAGUUCGAGCGACGAUUCAAAGGAAUCAUCCCGUCGACCAGAUAUUGGGUGAUAUUAGCAAGGGAGUAACUACUCGCUCUAGAUUAGUUAAUUUUUGUGAGCAUUACUCUUUUGUCUCUUCUAUUGAGCCUUUCAAGGUAGAAGAGGCCUUGCAAGAUCCGGACUGGGUGUUGGCCAUGCAGGAAGAGCUCAACAACUUCAAGAGGAACGAAGUUUGGAGCCUAGUGCCACGUCCCAAGCAAAAUGUUGUGGGAACCAAGUGGGUGUUCCGCAACAAGCAAGACGAGCACGGGGUGGUGACAAGAAACAAGGCUCGACUUGUGGCAAAAGGUUAUGCCCAAGUCGCAGGUUUGGAUUUCGAGGAGACUUUUGCUCCUAUGGCUAGGCUAGAAUCUAUUCGAAUAUUAUUAGCCUAUGCCGCUCACCACUCUUUCAGGUUGUUUCAAAUGGAUGUGAAGAGCGCUUUUCUCAAUGGGCCAAUCAAGGAGGAGGUGUAUGUGGAACAACCCCCUGGCUUCGAGGAUGACAGGUACCCCGACCAUGUGUUUAAGCUCUCUAAGGCGCUCUAUGGACUUAAGCAAGCCCCAAGAGCAUGGUAUGAAUGCCUUAGAGAUUUCUUAAUUGCUAAUUCUUUCAAGGUUGGGAAAGUCGAUCCCACUCUUUUUACUAAGACUUGCGAUGGUGAUCUUUUUGUGUGCCAAAUUUAUGUCGAUGACAUAAUAUUUGGUUCUACUAACCAAAAGUCUUGUGAGGAGUUUAGCAGGGUGAUGACUCAAAAGUUUGAGAUGUCUAUGAUGGGCGAGUUGACCUACUUCCUUGGGUUCCAAGUGAAGCAACUCAAGGACGGUACUUUCCUCUCCCAAACAAAGUAUACACAAGAUCUUCUCAAGAGGUUUGGGAUGAAGGACGCCAAGCCCGCGAAGACACCGAUGGGAACCGACGGGCAUGUCGACCUCAACAAAGGAGGUAAGUCUGUUGAUCAAAAGGCAUACCUGUCUAUGAUAGGUUCCUUGCUUUACUUAUGUGCUAGUAGACCAAACAUUAUGCUUAGUGUAUGCAUGUGUGCUAGAUUUCAAUCCGACCCCAAAGAAUGUCACCUUGUGGCCGUUAAGCGAAUUCUUAGAUAUUUAGUUGCUACGCCUUGCUUCGGGAUCUGGUAUCCAAAGGGGUCUACCUUUGACUUGAUUGGAUAUUCAGACUCCGAUUAUGCUGGAUGCAAGGUUGAUAGGAAGAGUACAUCAGGGACGUGCUAAUUCCUAGGAAGGUCCCUGGUGUCUUGGAGCUCAAAGAAACAAACCUCUGUUGCCCUAUCCACCGCUGAGGCCGAGUAUGUUGCCGCAGGACAGUGUUGCACACAACUAAUUUGGAUGAGGCAAACCCUCUGGGACUUUGGCUACAAUCUGAGCAAAGUCCCACUCCUAUGUGAUAAUGAGAGUGCAAUCCGCAUGGCGGAUAAUCCUGUUGAACACAGCCGCACUAAGCACAUAGACAUCCGGCAUCACUUUCUGAGGGACCACCAGCAAAAGGGAGAUAUCGAAGUGUAUCAUGUUAGCACCGAGAACCAGCUAGCCGAUAUCUUUACCAAGCCGUUAGAUGAGAAAACCUUUUGCAGGUUGCGGAGUGAGCUAAAUGUCUUAGAUUCGCGUAACUUGGAUUGAUCUAUAGCAUACAUGUGUUCUAUGCCUUUGAUCAUGUUACUUUAUGCAUUUAUGCAAUUUGUUGCUUAUUUAUGGUGCUCAAGUUGUGCAAGGGAUCCUCGGACCUCACAAGUCCAUGUGUGAAUGAUGCACAUAUUUAGGGGGAGAUGUGCUACAACUUGAUUCUUUGAGACUAAUAUAUUUGUUUGAGUAACAUGAUGUAGUCUCAAAGGUGCAUUGAAAAGGAAAAUGGACUUGGACAAUGCAAAGACUUCCACUGCACUCCGGUAUUAGUGUACUCACUUCCAAGUUCAUAUUUUUGCUCUUAUUGCCUUUUUGCUCUUAAUUGACAUUUUUGGUGAGGUAAUGGGGUUAAAGGGCCAAUAAUGAUCCCGUUUUGGUGCUUCAUGCCAAAGGGGGAGAAAUUAAGGCCAAAGCAAAUGGAUCAACUACCACUUGUGAAUUUUGAAAACAAUAGAGUUAGAACUUUUGAUUUGUCCAAAAUGCUCCUAUUGCAAAAUUUAGUCUCUUGUGGGGGAGAAUUUAUGAUUAUGGGAAAAAGGGGGAGUUUUGGCACUUGAUCAAUUUCACUCUUGGAUUAUCUCUCUUUAUGCACAAACAAGUGAGUUUGACUUAGAGAUAGGAAAAUGAAUUUGAUUUGCAAAAACAAACCAAGUGGUGGCAAAGAAUGAUCCAAAUAUGCCAAAUUAUAGUCAAAAACAAUUUGGUCCUCAUUUGCAUCGAUGUUGCACUUAUCUUCGUUGCUUUUUGAUGUGUUGGCAUAAAUCACCAAAAAGGGGGAGAUUAAAAGGGAAAUGUGCCCUUGGGCCAUUUCUAUAAUGUUUUGGUGAUUAAGUGUCCAACACAUAGUAAGUGAGUUGAUUAUGUGCCAAACAAGCAAAAAGUGCAAAUCAUAUAACAAGGUAUGUUUCUAAACUCAGUAAAUUGGUUUUUGUAUACUAAUAUAUUUGUCUAAGUAUUAGAAACAGAGAAAAGAAGAAAAGAAAAGAAUUGCAAGUGACUUGGCUGUGUGCAGCCGAAGUCCAGCUCAGUCUGGCACACCGGACAGUGUCCGGUGUGCCAGGUUGAACUCCGGUGAUAAGGCCGCUCUCGGGAAAAAUCGGCGGCGUACGACUAUAAUUCACCGGACUGUCCGGUGGUGCACCGGACUGUCCGGUGAGCCAACGGUCGCCAGCGCAACGGUCAGCCGCGCACUCCGCGGGCGACGCGUGGCCCGCACCAAUGUUCGGCAGGGGGCACCAGACUGUCCGGUGUGCACUGGACAGUGUCCGGUGCGCCAACUGGCCCGAAGGUGCAACGGUCAUCUGCGCCAGAAGAGGAAGGAGAUCGGCACCGGACCGUCUGCAGUGACCGUACGGUGGAGCACCGGACUGUCCGGUGCGCCACCCGACAGAAGGCAAGGAUGGCCUUCCUUGUUGGCCUCCAACAUCUCCUAGCUGCCUUGGGGCUAUAAAAGGGACCCCCUAGGCGCAUGGAGGAGUCCCCAAGCUUACAAGAAACAUUCUAAGACUCCAAGACUCCAACUUCACGUAUUCGAUUCUUUGAGAUAGUGACUUGAGCUCCAUUUGAGUUGUGAACUCCAUGCGUUGUGUUUUGAGCUCAAGUUGUGACUUGUGUGCGUGAUUGUGAUGUGGAUUUGAGUCUUGUGUGUGUUGCUCUCCCCUCCCUUACUUCUGUGCUUCUUUUAUGAUCAUAAUUGUAAGGGCGAGAGGCUCCAAGUUGUGGAGAUUCCUCGCAGACUAGAGAAAGACUAAGAAAGGAAAAAUGUGGUAUUCAAGUUGAUCAUCGGAUCACUUGAAAGGGUUGAGUGAAACCCUCGUCCAUUGGGACGCCACAAUGUGGAAGUAGGCAAGUAUUACUUGGUCGAACCACGGGAUAAAAAUCGCGUGUCUCGUGUGCUCUCUCUGUGAUUGUUUUGUCCAUAAGAACUCGCUUCUCAACUACUUAGCUGCACUAACAUUUCUAUAACCAAGUUUUGUGGCUAUUUAGUAUUGAAUUUUAUAAUAUCACCUAUUCACCCCCCUCUAGGUGCUCUCAGAAACCUACAACAACAAAAAGAUCUCUUAAUAUAUAGAACAUAAUGCUUUGUGGUAUACGUUUACUCCCCGUGAUCCCCUCCAAUACCCCUGUGAAUCUGUGAUCCCCUUGUCACCAAAUCUACCCUUAGGGAUAGCAAUCAGUAAUUCCCCAUCGAGAAAUAGCUCUUCGUCUCUGUCCUUGCGACAAAUUUUUUCCCACCGAGAUCCCCAUGAACACAUGCUAGGGAUAUUUCUUCUCCAUCUCUAUUCCUCGUGGGGAUAAAUCUUCAUCGGUGAUCCUUGUUCCCACUUAAAUUAUAAAUAGGACGUACGCCCUUUAUUAUUAAUGCAAAACAUUGCCACAUAUACAUGUAGUUAGAUGUAAGAAACUAUAACGUGUACAUCGAAAUAAACACAUUUAUAUAAUGAAUGGUCUCUUGACAAGAUAAUUAUUUUUUUCUCAUUAACUAUUACACAAAAAAUACUGUCACAUGUAAGUUUAACAGGUUUAUCGCAGGGAAUGGUGAUGGAGAAUACUUCCCCGUCAGCGUUGACGCGUCAGGCAGAAAUUUCUUCGUUUACAUUCUUAUGAGAGACGUGGGAAAUCGGGGAUAUGACCAUUGCCAAGUGUAAGGCUGGAAAAAAGCUUGAGGCUCGCGAGCUGGUUCGAGCUCAGGGCAGCUCGACUCGCGACCUAUACCAAAUUAAUCAAACUAUACAAUAAUAAUGGGUAAUGUAUAAUUUUACUUAUAAUUUUGAAUGAUGAUUAUAUUCUUCACAUUUAUAUACUAUUAAAUCACUAUAUGAUGAAAUAAUAUUUAUCAAGGUCUAGCUCGUAAGCCAACUUUUAGGUGAGUCAAGCCGAGUCUGCUAAUGAGCCGCACCGAGCCGAGCUCGGCACGACUCGUUUCCACUAGCCAAGUGGAAGUCGAGUCGACUGGCUGGUCAUCUGCUACAUACCUACAGGCUACAGUGCACUGCACUCGCCCACACCUAUGUGCCUGAUCAGCCACAACCCAUAGCCCGUGACACCGGAUCAGUCAGUGGUAUACAAAAUUAAUAAGAAUUGCAAAAUGAAGAAAAGGUCACCUAAUCUCACCUAUUUCUAUACCAUAAAGAACCAUAGAUUUGAACCCUUUUUAAAAAUAAAAGGAAGUGUUUAGAUAUUUAUCUACUUACUCUAGACAUUUAUCUACUUACUCUAUACUAAGUAGGUUUUUAAUAAAUAUUUACCCCAAUCCUCUCAUAAUAUUUGUAUCAAUAUCUAUUCAGUAGAUCCUUUUUUCUAUGCCAGGAACUAGAUUUGAACUGGUGACACGAGGAUUUGCAGUCCUCUGCUCUACUAACUGAGCUAUCCUAACCCUUUCUUGUGCAUCAUCUUAGUAAAGUAUUUGCACCUAUGUCAAUUAAAGGGACUAAAAAAUAAAUAAAGUAUUCCAUUCAAAAUUAGGAAAUGGGGAGGGGUAGUCCUAUGCAUUGUGGAUGGCUUACUUAAUAAUACUUAAAAAUAAAAUUAAUAAUCGAGAUUCCUUGACAAUAUUGUACUCUAAUAAAUAAAAAAGAAAUCAUCUAUUUAAUGAAUAGCAUAAGAUUCAUUGAGUUCUUGUCACACUCCUUUGUGAAAGAGUAGAAUGAGAAAGCUACUGAAUCUUAAACCCAUUGAUAAAAUAAAAAAAGAUAAUAACUAUGGUCAGGGAAUAAAAGGGGGUUUGGGGAUAGAGGGACUUGAACCCUCGUGACUUAUAAAGUUGACGUAUUUUUCUUUUACUAGAAAUUUCAUUGUUGUCAAUACUGACAUGUAGAGUGGUAAUCACUCUUUAUCCUCGUCCGAUUAAUCCAAUUUUUAAAAUUAAAAGAUCUCGAAAACAAUAAUUUGAAGGAUUUGAUUACUCAAUAUUUGAUUGGAAUAUAUUCACAAUAAUUCUAAAAAAUAUGAAUUUUCUAUUUCAUAAUUAUUCCUAAUUUCAUUCUAAAAAUAAAAUAAAGAGUCUAUAUUAUAAUAUGGGUUCUAUGAUUAAUUGUUAUUACUUCGUUUCGUUAGAACAACUUCCAUUGAGUCUCUACACCUAUCAUUUUCCUUUGGGUUCUAGUUUGAGAACACUUGCUUUUUCAAAAAAGGAUUUGGCUCAGGAUUGCCCAUUUUUCAUUCGAGGGUUUCUCGGAAUUUGGAAGUUACCACUUAGCAGGUUUCCAUACCAAGGCUCAAUACAAUCAAGUCCGUAGCGUCUACCGAUUUCGCCAUAUCCCAAUUUUACUUUUCUUUGAAACUAGGAUUCCUUGUAUAAUUUAAUCCAUCUCUUAGUUUUUUUGAAUCAUUGAAUUCAUUAUUCAACGUAGUCUAGCAACUCAUCUCUAUUUGAGACACCCCGCUCUUUAUUAUAUUAUUCAUAAAUAUUCUUCUUUUCUAUGUAUUAGACUAUUCCUCUUAGCCAUAUCAAAUUGAAAAUAUAUGAAAUCAAAUUCAAUAUAUAAUUUGGAAUAGAUUAUAAUAAAAAAAUCCAUUUGUGAAUUAGAGAAAUAGAAAGAAAGUUCAAUAUAUUCUAUAAUCCUAUUUAAGAAUAUCAUUUAGUUAACCAUAUCAAGUUAACUUUAUCUUUAUGAAAUUUUAGUAUUUUUCUAUCUAAGUGGAACUUCCAAUUUAGAACUAGUUAAUAACUAAGAUUAAUAAUUAAGACCUGACAUUUUACAUAUUCUCUAUAUAUAUUUUUAUUUGUUACACUAUUUCUGUUAUGUAAGCCCACUUAGCUUAGAGGUUAGAGGCUUAGAGCAUCGCAUGUGUAACGCGAGGGUCAUCGGUUCAAAUUUGAUAGUCGGUUUUUUUCUAUCGAUGUUCUAUGAACAAAGAUUUCUCUUUUUCUCCGAAUAAAAUGGGGAAUCCAGGGUGUCCCACCCAGUUUUGGAAGGUAAACCGAAUGUGAACCAUGUGCGUGCCAGGAUCAGAACUCACGUACAUAACAAUUACAUAAUUGGACAUCAUCACACAAUGCUUGAAUUAAAUAGCGGAAAGGUACUUAGUUACAUCAAGACAUCUGAGACAUCCACAGAGUCUAAUACAUAUCCAUAGUGUUUAACAAUAACAUCAAAGUGUGGAGUAACGAAACGUAGAAUGUAAGCCUACACAGACAGCUGACUAGGGGUUUGCCACUAAAGUAAACUAGAACUCGUCGUAGUCCUGGAACUCCUCAAAGUCAUCCAUGUUGCCAGCUUCACCUCCUGAGUACUGAGUACAGUGGGGACAACCUGGGGUGGGGUGGUUUGUAAAGCAAGGGUGAGUACACAUCAACGUACACAACAAAUGUCCCGUUUGGCUAAAGUGGACUAGCUGUAUGUGGAGUUAAAGUUAAGCAGUUGCUUUUAGUUGGUCAAGUUUUAUUACUAUAAGUAGAGCCAAGUUUUAGUAAUAACCCAGUUAUUACCCAGAGACACUCCCUCCAAGAGGAAAUACCAAAGAUCAGGAUUAUAAUCACCAUUGUUAAUCAUCAUCAUAAAAGUAACCAUUAUUCUUCUAGUCGAAGAGGAUCCCAAGGCUGCUCAUAACCGCGAGCACGGCUGAUAUACCAGUUUCUAACACUCUGCAGAGGUUGCACACUUUACCCACAAGCCGUGAUUCCCAUUCUGCCCGGGGUUCUAGCCUCCCCAUUGAUCACUACCAAGGUGACCUAGCAGGGUCUCACUACGUAGCCUUUACCAAGAUUUCCUAGAGAUCAUAGCCACCUGUUAGGUUUCUCCAGUUUGAUAAACAUAGUACAUCUCCUCAGAGGAAGGGUGACUAACAAAACCAAAUCAAAGAACCUCUGCAACUAGCCUCGGUAGAGCAAGUACUGUGCUCGGACCCCAUUGACGGCCCUACGGCGAAGCCAACUACUCCUCUGGUUCCUCUAAUUAAUAAGCUAAGGGCGUCCCAUUCCACCCUCAUGGUUGCAUUGUUAUCCCGGGUUGUCACUUCCCAAACAGGUCCUUACAGAGAGGCACUCAGAAAAGAGCCUAAGCCCCCUAAAGUAAUCACAAGGACCCCAUUAGGAUAACAUCAUCGUAUCAUAAAAGAUCACAUCAUUGUCGGGGACCAUAAUUAGGGGUACCCUCAAGGCUCCUAAAUCUCAGCUGGUAACCCCCAUCAGCACAAAGCUGCAAAGGCCUGAUGGGUGCGACUAAGUCAAGGAUCGGUCCAUUCGAGGGACGCGAUCACGCCUCGCCCGAGCCCAGCCUCGGGCAAGGGUAGCCGACCCCGGAGGAUCUACGUCUCGCCCGAGGCCCCCCUCCAGCAACAGACACGCCUUCGGCUCGCCCAAGGCCCAGUCUUCACCGAGAAGCAACCUAGGCCAAAUCGCCACGCCAACCGACCAAAUCGCAGGGGCAUUUAAUGCAAAGGUGGCCUGACACCUUUAUCCUGACGCACACCCUCCAGUCGACAGAGCCGAAGUGACCGCAGUCACUUCGCCACUCCACUGACCGGCCUGACAAGAAGACAGCGCCGCCUGCCCCGCACCGACUGCUGAGCCACUCGACAGAGUGAGGCUGACAGCAGCCAAGUCCGGCCCUAGGCGCCAUGGGAAACUCCGCUUCGCCCGACCCCAGGGCUCGGACUCGGGCUCAGCCCCGGAAGACGAUGAACUCCGCUCCGCCCGACCCCAGGGCUCGGACUCGGGCUCAGCCCCGGAAGACGACGAACUCCGCUCCGCCCGACCCCAGGGCUCGGACUCGGGCUCAGCCCCGGAAGACGACGAACUCCGCUUCGCCCGAUCACAGGGCUCGGACUUGGGCUCAGCCCCGGAAGACGACGAACUCCGCUCCGCCCGACCCCAGGGCUCGGACUCGGGCUCAGCCCCGGAAGACGACGAACUCCGCUCUGCCCGACCCCAGGGCUCGGACUCGGGUUCAGCCCUGGAAGACGACGAACUCCGCUUCGCCCGACCCCAGGGCUCGGACUCAGGCUCAGCCCCGGAAUAUGACGAACUCCGCUUCGCCCGACCCCAGGGCUCGGACUCAGCCCUGGCCUCAGCCGACGGUCUCCGCCUCGCCCGACCCGGGGGCUCGGACUCGACCUCGGCCUCGGAAGACAGACUCGACCUCGACCUCGGAGGAGCCUCCACAUCGCCCAACCCAGGGCACGGGCCGACCACAUCAACAGGAGGAGCCAUCAUUACCCUACCCCAAGCUGACUCAGGCUACGGGGAACAAGACCGGCGUCCCAUCUGGCUCGCUCCGCCAGACAAGUAAUGAUGGCGCCCCGCACGCUCUAUGACGACGGCGGCUCUCAGCCCCCUUACGGAAGCAAGAGGACGUCAACAAGGACUCGACAUCCCCGACAGCUGUCCUUCCGCCAGGCUCCAGCGCUCCUCCGACGGCCACGACACCACACGAACCGAGUGCCAAAACCUCUCCGGCUGCCACGAUGGCAUGUACUUAGGGCGCUAGCUCUCCUCCGCUAGACACGUUAGCACACUGCUACACCCCCCAUUGUACACCUGGAUCCUCUCCUUGCGCCUAUAAAAGGAAGGACCAGGGCCCUCUUACAGAGGGUUGGCCGCGCGGGGAAGGACGGGACGGCGCUCGCGUGAGCCCGCUCGCUCCCUCCCGCGUGGACGCUUGUAACCCCCUACUGCAAGCGCACCCGACCUGGGCGCGGGACAAACACGAAGGCCGCGGGAUUCCACCUCUCACGCCCGUCUCCCUCCGGCUGCCUCCCCCCUUCGCGCUCCGUCUCACGCCGACCCAUCUGGGCUGGGGCACGCGACGACAAUUUACUCGUCGGUCCAGGGACCCCCCGGGUUUCGAAACGCCGACAGUUGGCGCGCCAGGUAGGGGCCUGCUGCGUGUUGACGAACAGCUUCCCAUCUUGGUAUGCCGGAGAACGGUUAUCUCCCUAGGCCUGUGCCUCGCGUUGACAUCCUAUGGGAGCUAGUUGUGGUCCCUGUUCUGACGGGGGGUCAUGACCCACAGCUCCAGCAAAUCCGCGGGGUGCAGGCCAGGCUCAACGAGGGAGCAGGAACACUUGAGCCGAUCCGCCGGGACAUCGGGCAGGAAUGGGCGGGCCAGCCUCCGGCCGGAGAAGUGCGUCACCUACCCCAGGGUAUCCAGCACCGCAUCACCGACGAUGUCAGGGUAAGGCCGCCACCCACUUCCAGUGGAGUCGGCCAGAACCUGGCUGCAGCGGCAAUGCUUCUCCGCGCGAUGCCGGAGCCAUCAACAACCGAGGGGCGGCGAAUUCAGGGAGAGCUCAAGAAUCUCCUGGAGGACGCCGCGGCCCGACGGGCCGAAAGCUCCGCCUCCCGAAGGCAGGGGUGCCCCUCGGAACAUCGCGCCGCGACUUCCCGAUUCAUGCGGGAAGCCUCGGUCCAAACUGGGCGCAUGCGCAACACAGCGCCUGCGGCCCCGGGUCGCUUCGGCAACGAGCACCAUCACCGCAACCGUCGGGCCCACCUCAACGAGAGGGUGCGCCGAGGCUACCACCCCAGGCAUGGGGGACGCUACGACAGCGGGGAGGAUCGGAGUCCCUCGCCCGAACUACCCGGUCCGCAGGCUUUCAGCCGCGCCAUACGACGGGCGCCGUUCCCGACCCGGUUCUGAACCCCGACUACUAUCACAAAGUACUCAGGGGAGACGAGACCGGAACAGUGGCUCACGGACUACCGGCUGGCCUGCCAACUGGGUGGAACGGACGAUGACAACCUCAUCAUCCGCAACCUCCCCCUGUUCCUCUCCGACACCGCUCGCGCCUGGUUGGAGCACCUGCCUCCGGGGCAGAUCUCCAACUGGGACGACCUGGUCCAAGCCUUCGCCGGCAAUUUCCAGGGCACGUACGUGCGCCCUGGAAACUCCUGGGACCUCCGAAGCUGCCGACAGCAGCCGGGAGAGUCUCUCCGGGACUACAUCCGACGAUACUCGAAGCAGCGCACAGAGCUGCCCAACAUCACCGAUUCAGAUGUCAUCGGCGCGUUCCUCGCUGGCACCACCUGCCGCGACCUGGUGAGCAAGUUGGGUCGCAAGACCCCCACCAGGGCGAGCGAGCUGAUGGACAUCGCCACCAAAUUCGCCUCUGGCCAAGAGGCGGUUGAGGCUAUCUUUCGGAAGGACAAGCAGCCCUAGGGCCGCCCACCGGAAGAUGCCCUCGAGGCGUCAACUCAGCGCGGCGCCAAGAAGAAAGGCAAGAAGAAGUCGCAAGCGAAACGCGACGCCGCCGACACGGACCUUGUCGCCGCCGCCGAGUACAAGAACCCUCGGAAACCCCUCGGAGGUGCCAACCUCUUCGACAAGAUGCUCAAGGAGCCGUGCCCCUAUCAUCAGGGGCCCGUCAAGCACACCCUUGAGGAGUGCGCCAUGCUUCGGCGCCAUUUUCACAAGGUCGGGCCACCCGCGGAGGGUGGCAUGGCUCGCGACGACGAUAAUAAAGAAGAUCACCAGGCAGGAGAGUUCCCCAAGGUCCGCGACUGUCGGUGUUUUGGGUCCGACCGCACACCCGGGGUUGCCCCUCAAGGUGUUUUUAGGAGUAGGACGGUGUCGACGACUGUAGCAAAAUGGUUCGUGCCGGUUGCACGAGGGACAGUGAACAAGGUUUACAGGUUCGGGCCGCUUAGAGAUGCGUAACACCCUACGUCCUGGUGAGUAUGCUUGGUGGACAAGGUUACAAGAGGGCUCUCUGGAUUGAGAAUGCAGAGAGUUGAUGCGAGUGGCUAAGUAAUAGUGUCGAUCGAUCUGAAGGGGUGCCCCUAGGCCUUAUAUACUCGACCGUGGGGCAACAUAGGUGGAUAUGUUAACAACAAGUAGCUAAAAGAUAGUGAACUGCUUGAGUUUAUCUCCAGGUAAUCCUGCUGACUUAUCCUUGCAUGGCUCCGUUGCAUGGGAGCUCCAGCGUGGGAAAGUCGGAUCUCUGUUGCGGUCACUCGCCCAACGUUGUGGGUCGUCCGGGUUCGCACCAAUCCGGCCUCAUGUCACUCCGCUUUGCUGGUUGUCUCCCCCCAGGCCCACGAAAGAAUGACCUUACGAUUUAUUGGUCCCUUGGGCCUUUCGUGAGGUCUUUUACUCUUUUAGUGGACCCGGGGGAUAUCUAUCCCCCACAAGCCCCCGAUCUUUGGGUUAAUUUAGAGGUAAUCAGCCCAAAGAUCCCAGGUCCAGCUUGCAGGUGAUUUGAAGAAAAUAGCUUCCUGUUGUCUUCUCCUGCUUUGAUCACUCGUAGACCGAAGCCUAGUUUCGUGCUUGUGCCUUAGAGGUCGGCAUUUCGAUUCGCGGGAUUCUGAACUUCAUUGGGUGCACCGGAGGUGCACCCAAUGGGUGUAGCCCCCGAGCUUCGAGUAGAUUUUAGAAAAUAAUCUACUCGAAGGUCUUCCCCAGAAAUUAUUUCCAUUUGUGCUCCUGCGUUUUGGUUGAGAGCUGGCCUUUUAAUCUUGUCCCACGCCUUAGAAGUCGGCACUAUCUUGGCUUGGAAUGAUAAUCCAUGGGGUGCACCAGAGGUGCACCCAAUGGGUGUAGCCCCCGACCUUCAAAUGGAUUUUUGAGGAUAAUCCAUUCGAAGGUCUUCCUUUUGUGUCUCUUUGCAGAAAAUUAUCCUUUCUGUUUGUAGAAAUUGGCAGGAAGCUAUUCACAUUAUGCUUUGGAGGUCAGCAUUAUGUCAUCAACAUUCUGCUUCAGAGGUCAGCAUAUAUUUUGUCUUUAGCAGCCGAGUUCGCAAUCCAUCCAUAUCUUGCUAGGUAGUGCAAUUUAUUUGCUCUGUGACUGAUUGGACGUUUGAUGGACGUUCUCUGUCUAGUCUUCACAUCGCUUCUGUCGGCCAUACUUUGUACUUCACUGGCUAUAUUUGGCUUUCCUCUGAUCCUUACUGAUAUCUCAUUUUUGUCUUGAGGUAUUCACUGUGUGCCCUGCACAGAUGUGACUGUUUUGAAAAAUAUACUGAUAAUUCCUGGGCGCCCCCCAAUGGGUGUGGGCAAGGGAUGGCUUGGUACGCUGAGUAUUUUAGCCGGCUGCUUCUGAGUAGUAAUGUGAUGUGACGGCUGGUGUAAUCAUAUCCUCCGUGCUGUUGACUGGAGUCCCAAUGGGUGUUGUGUUGCGUGAAACGGCGUCAGCCGCCUGACGUGUCUUCAGACGGGUUGAAGUGUUUAUUGAAUGCUUUGCGACUGUUCAGUGACCGCGGUUGGAGGUGAGCGGUUGUCUUCUCCUUCUAUAAAUAACGAUGUUGUCUCUCUGGUUUUUUCACAUCUCUUCGUUGUUAUCUGCUGCUUCCCUUUCUUCUCUCCCUUCUGCUUCCACCAUGGGCAAGAACAACAAACGCAAGCGUGAGCCAACUCCUCCAUCGGAGGAGUUUGGUGACUCGGAGUACUCAGAGGAGGAGUUCUCCUCUGAGUCUGAGGGGUCUCCGGCUCCCGUCCCCCUGCGUGAGUCGUCUGACGACUCAGACGACUCCCAGGGGCUCGCGGCGGAGGUCUGGACGUACAUCCGGGCCGUCGAGCGCUCCGGGCUCGAGGGCUCGGAUGAGUCGGAGUACUCCUCGGAUGAGGAGGACUCGGACGGCGGCGGCGAGGAUGAGGACGACGACGACGACGACGACGACGACGGUGACGGUGACGGUGACGACAGCGGCAGGGGCGGCGGCGACGACAGCAAGGACGGUGAUGGCAGCGGCGGGGGCAGCAACCGGGGCGGCAGUAGCAGGGGCAGCACCAGAGGCGGCAGCAGCGGCGUCAGCAACAGGGCCAGUGGCUAGAUGCCACUGGUCUUUUAGAUAUUAGUAUAGUAUAGUUAGAAUAAUGUAGUAGUAAUGUAGAGUAGUAUAGCGUAGUGUAGUAGUAGUAGCAGUAAUGUAAUGUAGCAGUAGUAGGGAAGUAUCAACUCGUAAAGAGUUGAUUUGUAAGUAUGUUGUCUUCCCUUCUAAUGAAAGAAUGAUGUUGGCGCUUUUAGAGUAACUGUUGAGUGGUUGAACACAAUAUCGGAGUUUUAGAGAUAACUGCCGAGCGACUGAGACGAUGUCAGAGGGCGGCGUCAGCGUUUUAGAGGUAACACCGAGCAACUGAAGGGCGACGUCGGCGAUUUAGAGGCAACGCCGAGCAACUGAACACUGUAUCAGCGUUUUAGAGGCAACGCCGAGUGAUUGAAUACGAUGUCAGCGUUUUAGAGGUAACGCCGAGUGACUGGAGGGCGUCGUCGGCAUUUUAGAGGUAAUGCCGAGCGACUGAACACGAAAUCAGCGUUUUAGAGGCAACGCCGAGUGAUUGGAGGGCGACGUCGGCAUUUUAGAGGUAAUGCCGAGCGACUGAACACGAAAUCGGCGUUUCGGAGGCAACGCCGAGUGAUUGAAGGGCGACGUCGGCAUUUUAGAGGUAAUGCCGAGCGACUGAACACGAAAUCAGCAUUUUGGAGGCAACGCCGAGUGAUAGUAGGCCGCGUGAGCUACUUUGAGGAUGAUAGCCGAGUGAUGAGGUGGCGCACCGGUUUUUUGGAAAUAACUGCCGGAUGACCACGUGGUACGCUGGGUGCUGACUGGGCACUUUUUGAAAACGGUAUCUGGCUCGAGGAUAUCCCAUAAGUGCUGCGCUUUUAGCCGCCUUUGCUUUCUGUGCCCUAGUUCUUGCUUUCCCGCUUCCGAAUCUUCUCUGCCAUUCGCCUCCCACUCUGCUCGCUUGGUAGAAUCGAGAUGGCGCCCAAGAGGAAGACCUCGAGUUUAUCUGCUGUGGUGAUUCCUCCAAUCGACCCCAACAGCCAGUUGCCUUUCGCAGUUAACCACAUGUCCGUCAUUUCUGAAACUGAACUUCUCCACCUUGUAUCUAUCGGGGUUCUUCCUCCGCGAGAACUCUGUUCUUGGCGGAUUUGCCAUGGGUUUACUGUUCCGACAGAGGAUACCCAUGAGUCCGUUGUUUACACCCCUUUCCUUCUCCGCGGCCUUGGCCUUCCCAUUUCUCCCUUUUUCCGCGGCCUCCUUGAUUUCUACCAUAUUAACUUGACCCACUCGAAACCUAAUUCAAUUCUGCAAAUCUCCAUUUUCGUUCAUCUAUGUGAGGCCUUUCUUGGCGUGCUGCCGCAUUUCGGUUUAUGGAAAUACUUGUAUCAUUGUCGCCCUGGGAUGGCCGGGGGACAACAUCAGUUGGUUGUAGGUGCCAGCUUGGAGAUGCGUCGUGGGAGGAAGACUGAGUAUCUCGAGAUCCCCCUCAAGGACAGUAUCAAGGGAUGGCGCUUGGAGUGGUUCAUAGUUGAGAAUUAUGGGAAUUCUCUCCCCUCCCGGUCGGGAAGAUAGCCUGACGUUCGCACCCCAAGCUGGACCGAGUCUCCCACAGAUCAGGAGGUAGCUGAGGCAGGUGUGUUGCUAGCUGAAGUUGGACUGCUGAAAGAGAGGGGUCUGACUGCUGAAGCUGUGGUUACUGAUUUUGUUUUCAAGAAUAUUCAGCCAUUGAAAGACAGGGCCUACCCAGCUUAUCUGUAUCGAGGGCUAGCCGACUCAACUCGAGUUACUAACAGAAGAAUUCCCUCUGCAGACUUGGUGAGCCGACUAGAGAUGAUCCUUAGGGGCAAAGUGUCAAAUGUUGGUGCUCCAGUGGCAUACUCGGCCUGGAACCUGCCUCCUCCCAAAGCCUUCACCCUUUUUGUGUCGAAUCCACCUGUUACUGAUGGCAGUUUGGGCCUUAGAGCGUGACCCUCUGCUGAAGAAGUUAGUGCCUUGGUUGCUUCGCUUGGGGAGAUUCCUGAUGACAAACAACAGGUCCAUUUUGAGGUGCCCCUGAACCCUAGUGAUGCAGAUAUAAACGCUAUGCUUGAUUUGCUAGCUGAGGAUUCUUCCGAUGCUGCUCCUGCUGGGGCGUUGGUAGUGGUGCCCCUCCCAGAGGUUGAUACGACUUUGGAUGCUCAGAAGCCUGUCAGUACUCGCCCGAGGCGCCCUUGCCGAGCCAAUCAGCCUGAUCCUUCUGCUGAUGAGCAGAAGAAGAAAAGAAGACGCCUCCGGCGAGUAUCCAGUUUUGAUCAGGACGCUGGUACCUCGGUUCCUGCUACUGAGGAAGUGCCUGCGACUGGUUCUAUGGAUGCUGACCCCAAUGGGUGUACCCAAUCUGCUGCUGAUCCCAAUGUGGGUGCUGCUUGUGUUGCCAAUGCGGAUGAUGAGGAGGAAGAAAAUGAAGCUCCUUUGACUCGGAAAAACAGUCGGCAGUUCAUCGCCAGCGGUGAAAGUAGUGGAGUUCCCUUUCCUGCUUUGUCUGCCCUCAUUGGUCUGCAAGAACUGUCCCUAGCCAACUUUGAUCAGACUCUUGAAGAUAUGGUCCCAGAAGACUUGUUAUCGGAGCCGGUGGAUGAUGGUGCAAUGGAGGCUUGCGUUGACGUGCCUGAUGCUGGGUCGAGGUCAUCCCGUGCCUCGUCGACCUUAGAGCGCGAUCUCGAGGGUCGGGAAGCUGACUUGGAUUGUCCUGGUCCUAUGGAAGUAGCUGAGGGCCCGUCAACCUUAGAGGUGGUUACUGCAGAGAGCUUGGACCUCAAGAAUGGUGCUGACACAUGCCCAGCCCCCGAGGAUGUCGCCGGGGAUGACUUGGCUCGGGUGAAGAGUGCAAGCCACUGCCCAGCCCCCGAGGGUGCUGCCGGGGAUGAUCCGGCUCAAGUGGGUAGUGCAAACUAUGACCCAGCCCCCGAGGGUGCCCGAGCAGGGUCUCCUUCCUGUACUUCCAUGGACGUUCAUGCGGGAUCUCCUCCACACUCUGGCUGUAUGGUGGUAGCCCAAACCUUGGACCAGAGAGUCGCUUUAGAAGGCAGCGUCCCCGCUGAUCGAGUGUUUGGCUCUGUUGAAGGCACCGAGCUGAUUCCUACUGGUUCGUUGCAAGCUGCUUCGGGUGGUGGCCUUACGCCUGGUUAUCAGCUGAUCUCUCCUGAUUUGGGGAUCCCUUCGUUCUUUUCCAACCUCCAGGGGCUUGUGGUGUAUUUUAGCUUGAUGUUCACAUUGUAUGAACUGCUGUCAUUACACUCAUCUGCUUUCCUCGUCAGGCUUUGGUGGAUGGGAUGGCUAGCCAGCUGAGGCUACAGGGUGCUUCCGUCCCAGAAGUAGCUUCGUCUCUUGCAUGUUGGAAUCCAGUGUCACUUCAACAUCGCGUCUCUGAAUUGGAGGCAACCAACGCUGGUUAGUGCUUUUUUGCUUCUCUUUGCCUUCACUGUGAACUGCUUUACCUUCUGACCCCAUUUUAUUUGAUUAUCUCUUGCUAGGAAUGACUCGGCAAAUUUCAACUCUUGAGGAAAAACAUUCCCGAGAUCAGGCUGAAUUGGUCCAGCGGUGUGCUGACUUCGAGGAGAAGUACUCUCAGAGCCAAACUGAACUAGGUCAAGUCUCUGCUGCUUUGGAUGACGCCAAUGCUCUGAGUUCUUCUCUUCAUGCUCAGCUCGAUUCUGAAAAGGUAAUUUACAAGAUUGUGCUUUGCCUUGUUGUGCUCCUAUUACUUGCUUGGUUUUUGAAGGGGUUGAUUUUUGCUCGCAGGAAGAAAAGCGUAUCCUCGCUGCCUCUUGUGACAGUCUUGACAGAUUGUAUCGUGAUUCUAGCAACUCGCUGACCAUCUUGGAGAGGAGUCAUCGCUUUACAAUGGAGGAAUUGGACAAUCAACGUUGUAAGCUGCAAGAAUCCGCGGACGAAGUGACCCGCCUCAAGCAAUUGAUAUCAGCAAAGGAUGCUACCAUCAAAGAACUCCGAGCUUCCAAAAAAUCCAUUGCCCAGGAAUUAGAAACUGCUCGACUGGCUGCUAAAGUUGCUGAAGAAACUUCUGUUACUCUCAGAGCCCAACGCGACAGAGCCAUGGACAAGGCUAUUCGGGCGGGACGAAUCUUGAUGAGGAUACCCGGCGUGGUUGUUCCUGAAGACAUAAGGGCUGAUGUGAAUGCUGCCCCUGAUUCCUCGAGUCGUCCUUCUUCGUCGGUUGUUCCUGAGAAAGACAUUGCGAAAUAGAGAAACAUCUUGCGUGCUUUGAGCGCGCGGUUAGCAUGAUCGAGUAUUUGUUAGAGGACAUCAGUUCAGCAUUCGAACGAUAUAAUUACUCUCUUAUUGUUUCGGAAUUUAUCAGUUCGUGAUUUUGCAGUAAUGAAAUGACGCGCGAUGAUUAUGAAAUUUGUUUGCGGGAUAUAUAAGUCAUCCCUGUAUGAGUAAGCAUAAUUACGUCAGAUCGCCUUAAGUCGCUGCUGAAUUAAGUCGACUAUUUUCGUUAAUAGGGGGUAGUGGUCACCCUGAAUUCAUAGGCAUGAGCAUGUUGCACCGGCUUAAGUCGCUGCUUACUUUAGCCGAUUGCUCCAUUAGCAGGGCAUAGUGGUCACCCCGAAUUGAGUAAGCGUGAGCAUGUUGCCUCGCCUUAAGUCGUUGCCGACUUAAGUCGAUUGCUCCGAUAGUAGGGCAUAGUGAUCACCCCGAGUUAAGUAAGCGUGAGCAUGUUGCACCGCCUUAAGCCGUUGCCGACUUAAGUCGAUUGCUCCGUUAGUAGGGCAUAGUGGUCACCCUGAGUUAAGUAAGCGUGAGCAUGUUGCACCGCCUUAAGCCGUUGCCGACUUAAGUCGAUUGCUCCGUUAGUAGGGCAUAGUGGUCACCCUGAGUUAAGUAAGCGUGAGCAUGUUGCACCGCCUUAAGCCGUUGCCGACUUAAGUCGAUUGCUCCGUUAGUAGGGCAUAGUGGUCACUCUGAGUUAAGUAAGCGUGAGCAUGUUGCACCGCCUUAAGCCGUUGCCGACUUAAGUCGAUUGCUCCGUUAGUAGGGCAUAGUGGUCACCCUGAGUUAAGUAAGCGUGAGCAUGUUGCACCGCCUUAAGCCGUUGCCGACUUAAGUCGAUUGCUCCGUUAGUAGGGCAUAGUGGUCACCCUGAGUUAAGUAAGCGUGAGCAUGUUGCACCGCCUUAAGCCGUUGCCGACUUAAGUCGAUUGCUCCGUUAGUAGGGCAUAGUGGUCACCCUGAGUUAAGUAAGCGUGAGCAUGUUGCACCGCCUUAAGCCGUUGCCGACUUAAGUCGAUUGCUCCGUUAGUAGGGCAUAGUGGUCACCCUGAGUUAAGUAAGAAUGCAAGUCAAUCGUAAACAAAUUGAGUAUCUUUGAAACCUCUUUUUUAUUGAUGACAUAUUUCCACUUUACAGAGUACAUCGUCGUCCCGGCAGUUUUUGAAAUACAGCUAGGGAUAGAACUUUCUGAGGUGUUCUAUGUUCCAGGAGUUCCCGACUUCUGUGCCAUCCAUCUGAGUGAGACGAUACGAUCCGGGCCGAGCGACUUCUGCUACCAUGAAGGGUCCUUCCCAUAAGGGUGAUAACUUGUGCCGUCCCUCCCCCGUUAGAAUUCGGCGGAGGACGAGAUCUCCUAUUGAGAAGGAUCGUUGUCGCACAACCUUGUCGUGAUAGCGCCUUAGAGUCUACUGGUACCGUGCUGAUUGGAUUACUGUAUUUAGCCGUUCUUCUUCAAGUACAUCAAUGUCCUCUAGCCUGGUAGCCUCAGCUUCUGCUAUGUUUUCGAAGAUCAACCUUGGCGCCCCAAACUUGAGAUCGGCGGGUAGCACUGCCUCCGUCCCAUAGACCAUGAAGAAAGGAGUGUUUCCAUGCAGGGCUCGGCUAGGUUGGGUUCUUAGGCUCCAAACGACAUAAGGCAGUUCCCUUAUCCACUUUCCUGCGAACUUUUCAUUUUAUCGAAGACCUUUUUCCUCAGUGCCUCCAAUAUCAUCCCGUUGGCUCGCUCAACCUACCCGUUGGCUCUUGGAUGUGCUACAGAUGCAUACUUGAUCUGAAUGCUCUUUUGCUCGCAGAAGUCGAAGAAUUCUGAACUUGUGAAGUUGGAUCCUAAGUCAGUUAUGAUGUUGUUUGGUAUCCCGAAUCUGAAUAUUAUGUCCUGUAUGAAUUCCACGGCCUUAGCAGAGGUUAAAGAAGCAAUGGGCCUGAACUCUAUCCAUUUAGUGAAUUUGUCGAUCGCUACCAAUACAUGAGUGUAUCCCCCUUGAGCUUUCUUGAAAGGUCCGAUCAUAUCCAGUCCCCAACAUGCGAAAGGCCAAGUUACUGGUAUGGUCUGCAGUUGUUGUGCUGGCAGGUGUUGUUGCUUUGACAAGUAUUGGCAAGCUUCGCACUUCUGAACUAACUCGGUUGCAUCGUUCUUUGCUGUUGGCCAAUAGAAUUCUGACCUGAAGACCUUCCCGACUAGUGUUCUGGAGGUUGCAUGUAUUCCACAUUGCCCAGCAUGGAUCUCCUCCAGAAGUUGCUUCCCAAUGGGCGGGAGGAUGCACUUCAUGAGGACGCCUGACGCACCCCUUCUAUACAAUGUCUCCCCAAUGAGUGUGUAGUGAGCCGACUGUCUGGCAAUGCGCUCGGCCGAGUUCUUGUCAUCUGGUUCUUCUUCAUUCUUUAUAUACUUGAUGAUUGGCCUUCUCCAGUCAUCAGAGUCUGACUCGGGUCGAUCUAUAAUGUUGCACUCUUCUGCUUGAUCUAUUGAGAUACUCGGCUGUAUUAUUUCUUGCAUAAAGACUCCGGGUGGGACCUGAGUUCGACUGGAUCCUAGCUUGGACAGUACAUCGGCUGCUGUGUUCCGAUCUCUUUCUACGUGAUGAAAUUCCAGACCCUCGAAUUUAUCUUCCAGCUUUCGGACGGCAGUGCAGUAUUUUCCCAUUGAAUCGCUUGAACAAUCCCACUCUUUGUUUAUCUGGCUAAUGACUACCAGAGAGUCUCCGUACACCAUCAAUAUCUUGAUGCCCAAUGAUAUGGCGAUGUUCAAUCCAUGGAUCAGAGCUUCAUACUUGGCUGCAUUUUUGGAGGCCGGAAAUAGCAACUGGAGGGCAUAUUUGAGGUGCUCGCCUUCAGGUGCGGUGAGGAGAAUUCCCGCUCCUGCUCCCUGCGAUUUCAGCGAGCCAUCAAAAUACAUUCGCCACACUUCUGCAGUCUCUGGGUUAUCUGGUACUUGCUGUUCAGUCCACUCUGAUACGAAAUCAACCAGUGCUUGAGUUUUGAUGGCAGUACGAGGUCGGAACUCGAUGUCAUGAGAUCCUAGCUCACAAGCCCACUUGGCUAUUCGGCCAAUGGCUUCCUUGUUGUGAAGGAUAUCCCCUAUCGGAAAACCAGUGACUACUAUGACUUUGUGGUCAUCAAAGUAGUGACGCAGCUUGCGGGCAGUUAGAAGUACUGCAUAUAAUAGCUUCUGAACCUGAGGAUAUUUUUUCUUUGAGGGGCCCAGAACUUCACUGAUGAAGUAAAUAGGAUGUUGUACUGGGUAGGCAUGUCCUUCUUCCACUCGCUCGACUACCAACGCGGUGCUUACCACGUGAGUCGUGCAAGAGAUAUACAGUAGCAGGUCUUCAGCUGGUUGAGUCGACGUAGCUCGUCGGGGUGGCUUCAGUACUGGUGGUGUUGUCAUGAAUUUCUUCAGCGCAUCUAGAGCUUCUUGUGCUUCUGAAGUCCACUGAAACUUAUCCACCUUCUUGAGUAGCUUGUAAAACGGCAAACCUUUUUCCCCCAGCCUGGAUAUAAAUCUGCUCAGAGCUGCCAUACAUCCAGUAAGUCGCUGAACCUUCUUUUGUGAUCGAGGUGCUUCCAUCUUCAUGAUAGCUUCAAUCUUAUCCGGAUUAGCCUCAAUUCCUCGGUGGCUGACGAUAAACCCGAGUAACUUUCCCGCCGGUACCCUGAAAACACAUUUUUCAGGAUUAAGCUUCCAUCUAUAUCGUCUCAGACUGUUGAAAACCAGCUGUAAGUCUUCAAUGAAGUUUUCCGAGUUCUCUGUCUUGAUUACCACGUCAUCUAUGUAGGCUUCGACACGCUUGCCCCAGUGAUCGGCUAAGCAUGUUUGGAUGGCUCUCUGAUAAGUCGCUCCAGCGUUUUUGAGGCCGAACGACAUGGAGGUAUAACAGAAAGCGCCAAACGGGGUGAUGAACGCUGUUUUUUCCUCGUCUUCUUUCGCCAAACUAAUCUGAUGGUAUCCGGAAUAGCAAUCCAGGAAAGACAGCACAGAACAUCCAGCGGUGGAGUCCACCACCUGAUCUAUCCUCGGGAGCCCGAAGGGAUCCUUCGGACAGUGUUUGUUGAGAUCAGUAUAGUCGACGCACAUGCGCCAAUCCACUUUAUUCUUUUUGAGUACAAGAACAGGGUUGGCUAACCACUCGGGGUGUAACACUUCUCUAAUAAAUCCGGCCGCGACCAAGCGAGCUAACUCGGUGCGAAUGGCCUCUCUUUUGUCGGGCGUGAAGCGACAUAGCUUUUGCCGAAUCGGCCUCGCCUGGGGGUAGACCUUCAGUUUGUGCUCGGCCAGUUCUCUUGGGACUCCCGGCAUAUCCGCAGGUUGCCAUGCGAAUACGUCUCGGUUAUCUUGCAGGAACUGGACGAGCGCGCUUUCCUAUUUGUCGUCCAAGCUGGAGCUGAUGAUGGCAGUCUUGCGUUCAUCAGCGAACCCUAGGUUGAUCCUCUUGGUUUCUUCAGUCGGCCGCAUAGAGGUCGUGGCCUGAGCUUCGUUUGCUGGUGCUGCGAGGUCCUCUUCAGGCUUGGUGGUGAGGGCUGCUUGGAUGGCCACUCGGAAACACUCUGCGGCGCCUUGGAAGUCGGCGCGCACAGUUAUGAUUCCUUGCGGUCCUGGCAUCUUCAGUAUCAUAUACGUGUAAUGAGGGAUGGCCAUGAAUUUGGCCAGUCCCGGCCUCCCGAUGAUGGUGUUGUACCCGCAGUCGAAGUUCGCCACUUCGAACCUCAGGAACUCGAUUCUGUAGUUCUCCGGAGUUCCGAAGGUGACUAGCAUGUAGAUGUGGCCCAGCGGGUAUUCCCCUUCCAUCGGCACGAUGCCGAAGAAAGGAGUGUCCGACUCGUGGAGCUCUUUGAGGUGAACUCCCAAGCCUUGCAGUGUCCGGGGGAAGGUGACGUUGAUGCUGCUCCCCCCGUCCACUAGUACCUUCUUUACCCGGCUCUCUCGGAUCACUGGAUCGACAAGGAGCGGGUAUUUGCCUGGAUGGUCGAAGUUGAGCCAUUGAUCCUCCCGAGUGAAAAUGAUCGGGUGCUCUGACCACCGGUAUGGGGCGGGAGGACCGGUGGUCGCCACCAGUAUCUGGCGGUCGUUGAGCUUUUGUUGUCUUUUGUUCUCCUGUGACCCAUGUCCGCCGAAGAUAACGUUGACCUCCCUGUCAACGCGCGGAAAGGCUCCUCCUCCUCCCUCCUCCUGCUGAUGGGGUUGUCGUGGUUCAUCUGGUCCUCCCCUCGGCGGAGGAGGAGGUAGAGGUUGGAAGGGUCGGCCGUGUCCAACGGAAUGCUUGAAGUCCCGGCAGUUACGAAGGGUGUGCCGCAUGUCCUUGUGGUACGGGCACUGGGCUUCGAGGAUGUCGUCCAGCGUGCGUUCGCCUCCACGAGGUCCUCCUCGGGCGCGAGAGGCAGGUGGUCCGGCGGCGUGUACUUCUUCGUGAGGCCUCUUCUCCCAUCGUUUGUCGGGUUGCUGGUUCACGUCGCGCCGUGGUGCUGCCGGUGCGGGCUUUGCUCCUCCAAUGAGGUCCUGGGCCCGCUCGUCGGCGGUGAUGUAGAGGUCGGCUUCCCGGAACAGCUCCUCGGAGGUAGUCGGCGCCUUCUGUAGUAUGGCUCGAACGAAAGCCGAGUCGUUGGAUCCUCUGUAGAAGUCCUCGAUCACGGCCGCCUCCGUGACCUCGGGGAUACGAUUUCUCAUGGUCUGGAACCUUUUGAGGUACGACCGGAGAGUCUCGUCCCCCCGGCGCUUGAUGGAUUUGAGGUCCCACGGUUGCGCCGGUUUGUCAGAGAGGGACUGGAAGUUGGCGGUGAAGCGUCGACUGAAGUCGCCCCAGUUGUUGAUGCAGUGUCGGGGUAGAUGUCACAGCCAUUGCAGCGCGUCUUGCCCAAGGACAAUGGGCAAAUAUGCGGUCAUCACGUCUUCGGACGCCCCGGCGGCUCGGGCAGCGGUGGUGUAGACGGCUAGCCAACCCCCUGGAUCUUGCUUAGGCUCAUAUUUGUCGACAUUGGAUACCUUGAAGUUGGGAGGCCAUUGGAUGGCCCUAAGGCGUGGAGUAAGAGCAGACACUCCGCACGUGUCCUCCUGUCGUCGGGGAUGAUGUCUGUCCCGGGGAGGGGAGUAGUGGUUGUGGUUCCUCGACCGUCCCCGGGUGGUACCGCCAGUUGAGGCUGUUGCCGACUCAGUUCUGGUGGCUUGGCUCUGAGCUGGGAUGCCAUGAUCCCUGUCGUACUCCUCCCGGCGGCGGAUCUCGUUCUCAUGCCGCCGUUCGCGCGAAGCAUUGAUGGAGCUUCGCGCGUCUCGGCGACUGUUGAUGGCGUGUCGUAGAUCGUUCGGCGGGUGAGCAAGCGGUAGAAGAUGGUUGGCCGCCUGGGUGAACAGUCGUCGGUAGCCCUCAGCGUCGGGAGUCCGAGGGAGUCCAUCAGCUAUCCGAGCUAGUACCCCUCCGACUUCGCUCGGCCUGUUCAUAGCUCGGGCGAAGUCGGGAUUCAGGUUGCGCCCGAAGAAUGGAUUCUCCCGGCGUUGCCUCGCAUCUUGCUCGGCUUGUUCCUGAGCCCGGCGGCGAUCACGUCGUCGGGAGUUCCUUCGUUCUCUGAAGACGCGUUCUUCAGGAGUUUCUCCUAUCUCCGAGACCUCGUCUCGCGAGACAGGCUGCUCCGGAUCCCGUUCUCCGGCUGCGUGAUGUCGUCGAAUGUUCCUGCGCCGGUUCCUCCGUCGGCGGGAUUCUCGUUGAGGUGGUUCUUCUCCGGGCACAGUCGGUUCGUCGUCGGAGACGGUAGGCGACUCCACUCUCCCGAUGAAGAGGACGUCGGGGUAGAAUGGUGCUGCUGUCGUGGCGACCUUCUUUCCGUUCUCCUUUGAGGGCGAAGGAACGGAAAGAACAACUUGCGUCUCCUUGGUCUCCUUCUUCCUUGCGAUCUGUGUCCAUUCUUUCGUCGGAGAAGUAGACAGUGGAGUUCUCCGGGUCAGCGAGCCCUCGGCCCCCGAAUUUCCGGAGACGGUCUUUUUCCGGAGAGCUGGAGGUUGCGCUUCUCCGGCAUUUUCGGAGUUCGUUGGGGGAGACUUCUUUCUCGGCGGAUCCGCAAUGCGGUGUAGAGUUCCCUCUUCAUCCGCUACAGAUGAGAUUGUUCCGAAGCAGAAUACGGAUCUGGGACGCAGGGUGAUCUUGCUGUAGAAGGUGACGACCAUUGAGCUAGCUUGGAUCGUCGACGCACCCCCUACCUGGCGCGCCAGCUGUCGGUGUUUUGGGUCCGACCGCACACCCGGGGUUGCCCCUCAAGGUGUUUUUAGGAGUAGGACGGUGUCGACGACUGUAGCAAAAUGGUUCGUGCCGGUUGCACGAGGGACAGUGAACAAGGUUUACAGGUUCGGGCCGCUUAGAGAUGCGUAACACCCUACGUCCUGGUGAGUAUGCUUGGUGGACAAGGUUACAAGAGGGCUCUCUGGAUUGAGAAUGCAGAGAGUUGAUGCGAGUGGCUAAGUAAUAGUGUCGAUCGAUCUGAAUGGGUGCCCCUAGGCCUUAUAUACUCGACCGUGGGGCAACACAGUUGGAUAUGAUAACAACAAGUAGCUAAAAGAUAGUGAACUGCUUGAGUUUAUCUCCAGGUAAUCCUGCCGACUUAUCCUUGCAUGGCUCCGUUGCAUGGGAGCUCCAGCGCGGGAAAGUCGGAUCUCUGUUGCGGUCACUCGCCCAACGUUGUGGGUCGUCCGGGUUCGCACCAAUCCGGCCUCAUGUCACUCCGCUUUGCUGGUUGUCUCCCCCCAGGCCCACGAAAGAAUGACCUUACGAUUUAUUGGUCCCUUGGGCCUUUCGUGAGGUAUUUUACUCUUUUAGUGGACCCGGGGGAUAUCUAUCCCCCACAGCGACUGCUUCAUGAUCUACGGUGGGCAAGCGGCGAACGCCUCGGCUCGGCACCGCAAGCAAGAGCGUCGGGAGGUCUGUUCGGUAAAGGUGGCGGCGCCAGUCUACCUAGACUGGUCCGACAAGCCCAUCACCUUCGACCAAGCCGACCACCCCGACCGCGUGCCGAGCCCGGGGAAAUACCCGCUCGUUGUCGACCCCGUCAUCGGCGACGUCAGGCUCACCAAGGUCCUCAUGGACGAAGGCAGCCGCCUCAACAUCAUCUACGCCGAGACCCUCGGGCUCCUGCGUGUUGAUCUGUCCUCGGUCUGGGCAGGCGCUGCGCCUUUCCACGGGAUCAUCCCCGGGAAGCGCGUCCAGCCCCUCGGACAACUCGAUCUUCCCGUAUGCUUUAGGACACCCUCCAACUUCCGAAGGGAGACCCUCACGUUCGAGGUGGUCGGGUUCCGAGGAACCUACCACGCAUUACUGGGGAGGCCAUGCUACGUGAAGUUCAUGGCCGUCCCCAACUACACCUACCUCAAGCUCAAGAUGCCGGGCCCCAACGGGGUCAUCACCGUCGGCCCUACAUACGGACACGCGUUCGAAUGCGACGUGGAGUGCGUGGAGUAUGCCAAGGCCCUCGCCGAAUCCGAGGCCCUCAUCGCCGACCUGGAGAGCCUCUCUAAGGAGGUGCCAGACGUGAAGCGCCACGCCGGCAACUUCGAGCCAGCGGAGACGGUUAAAUCCGUCCCCCUCGACCCCAGCAGCGACGCUUCCAAGCAGAUCCGGAUCGGCUUCGAGCUCGAUCCCAAAUAGGAAGCAGUGCUCGUCGACUUUCUCCGCGCAAACGCCAACGUUUUCGCGUGGAGUCCCUCGGACAUGCCCGGCAUACCGAGGGAUGUCGCCGAGCACUCGCUGGAUAUCCGAGCUGGAGCCCGACCCGUGAAGCAGCCUCUGCGCCGAUUCGACGAAGAAAAGCGCAGAGCCAUAGGCGAGGAGAUCCACAAGCUAAUGGCGGCAGGGUUCAUCAAAGAGGUAUUCCAUCCCGAAUGGCUUGCCAACCCUGUGCUUGUGAGAAAGAAAGGAGGGAAAUGACGGAUGUGUGUAGACUACACUAGUCUAAACAAAGCAUGUCCGAAGGUUCCCUACCCUCUGCCUCGCAUCGACCAAAUUGUGGACUCCACUGCUGGGUGCGAAACCCUGUCUUUCCUCGAUGCCUACUCAGGGUAUCACCAAAUCUGGAUGAAAGAGUCCGACCAGCUCGCGACUUCUUUCAUCACACCCUUCGGCAUGUACUGCUAUGUCACCAUGCCGUUCGGCUUGAGGAAUGCGGGUGCAACGUACCAACGGUGCAUGAACCAUGUGUUCAGCGAACACAUUGGCCGAACGGUCGAGGCCUACGUCGAUGACAUCGUAGUCAAGACGAGGAAAGCCUCCGACCUUCUUUCCGACCUUGAAGUGACAUUCCGAUGUCUCAAGGCGAAAGGUGUGAAGCUCAAUCCCGAGAAGUGUGUCUUCGGGGUUCCCCGAGGCAUGCUCUUGGGGUUCAUCGUCUCCGAGCGGGGCAUCAAGGCCAACCCGGAGAAGAUCGCGGCCAUCACCAGCAUGGGGCCCAUCAAGGACUUGAAAGGCGUACAGAGAGUCACGGGAUGCCUUGCGGCUCUGAGCCGCUUCAUCUCGCGCCUCGGCGAAAGAGGACUGCCUCUGUACCGCCUCUUAAGGAAGGCCGAGUGCUUCACUUGGACCCCUGAGGCCGAGGAAGCCCUCGGGAACCUGAAGGCGCUCCUCACGAACGCGCCCAUCUUGGUGCCUCCCGCUGCCAGAGAAGCCCUCUUGAUCUACGUCACCGCGACCACUCAGGUGGUUAGCGCCGCGAUUGUGGUUGAGAGACGAGAAGAGGGGCAUGCAUUGCCCGUCCAGAGGCCAGUCUACUUCAUCAGCGAGGUACUGUCUGAGACCAAGAUCUGCUACCCACAAGUUCUGAAGCUGCUAUACGCGGUGAUCCUGACGCGGCAGAAGUUGCGACACUACUUCGAGUCUCAUCCGGUAACUGUGGUGUCAUCCUUCCCCCUGGGGGAGAUCAUCUAGUGCCGAGAGGCCUCAGGUAGAAUUGCAAAGUGGGCGGUGGAAAUCAUGGGUGAAACGAUCUCGUUCGCCCCUCGGAAGGCCAUCAAGUCCCAGGUCUUGGCGGACUUCGUGGCUGAAUGGGUCGACACCAAGCUCCCAACAGUUCCGAUCCAACCGGAACUCUGGACCAUGUUCUUCGAUGGGUCGCUGAUGAAGACAGGAGCAGGCGCAGGCCUGCUCUUCAUCUCGCCCCUCGGAAAGCACCUACGCUACGUGCUACGCCUCCAUUUCCCGGCGUCCAACAAUGUGGCUGAGUAUGAGGCUCUGGUCAACGGUUUGCGCAUCACCAUCGAGCUAGGGGUCCGACGCCUCGACGCUCGCAGCGACUCGCAGCUCAUCAUCGACCAAGUCAUGAAGAACUCCCACUGCCGUGACCCGAAGAUGGAAGCCUACUGCGAUGAGGUUCGGCGCCUGGAAGACAAGUUCUACGGGCUCGAGCUCAACCACAUCGCCCGACUCUACAACGAGACUGCGGACGAGCUGGCUAAAAUAGCCUCAGGGCGAACAACGGUUCCCCCGGACGUCUUCUCCCGAGACCUGCAUCAACCCUCCGUCAAGACUGACGACACGCCCGAGCCCGAGGUACCCUCGGCUCAGUCCGAGGUACCCUCGGCUCGGCCCGAGGCACCCUCGGCUCGGCCCGAGGCACCCUCGGCUCGGCCCGAGGCACCCUCGGCUCGGCCCGAGGCACCCUCGGCUCGGCCCGAGGCACCCUCGGCUCGGCCCGAGGUACCCUCGGCUCAGUCUGAGGUACCCUCGGCUCGGCCCGAGGCACCCUCGGCCCAACCCAAGGCACCCUCGGCUCAGCCCGAGGUACCCUCGGCCCCCGAGGGUGAGGCACUGCGCAUCGAGGAGGAGCGAAGCGGGGUCACGCCUAAUCGAAACUGGCAGACCCCGUACCUGCAGUAUCUCCACCGAGGAGAGCUACCCCUCGACCGAGCCGAAGCUCGGCGGUUGGCGCGGCGCGCCAAGUCGUUUGUCUUGCUGGGGGACGGGAAGGAACUCUACCACCGCAGCCCCUCAGGCAUCCUCCAGCGAUGCAUUUCCAUCGCCGAAGGCCAGGAGCUCUUACAAGAGAUACACUCGGGGGGCUUGCGGCCAUCACGCAGCGCCUCGAGCCCUUGUUGGAAACGCCUUCCGACAAGGUUUCUACUGGCCGACGGCGGUGGCCGACGCCACUAGAAUUGUCCGCACCUGCGAAGGGUGUUAGUUCUACGCAAGGCAGACCCACCUGCCCGCUCAGGCCCUGUAGACGAUACCCAUCACCUGGCCUUUUGCUGUGUGGGGUCUGGACCUCGUUGGCCCCUAGCAGAAGGCACCCGGGGGCUAUACGCACCUGUUGGUCACCAUUGACAAAUUCUCCAAGUGGAUCGAGGUCCGACCCCUAAACAGCAUCAGGUCCGAACAGGCGAUGGCGUUCUUCACCAACAUCAUCCAUCACUUUGGGGUCCCGAACUCCAUCAUCACCGACAACGGCACCCAGUUCACCGGCAGAAAGUUCCUGGACUUCUGCGAGGAUCACCACAUCCGGGUGGACUGGGCCGCCGUGGCUCACCACGAAUGGGCAAGUAGAGCGUGCCAACGGCAUGAUUCUACAAGGACUCAAGCCUCGGAUCUACAACGACCUCAACAAGUUCGGCAAGCGAUGGAUGAAGGAACUCCCCUCGGUGGUCUGGAGUCUGAGGACAACACCGAGCCGAGCCACGAGCUUCACGCCGUUCUUUCUAGUCUAUGGGGCCGAGGCCAUCUUGCCCACAGACUUAGAAUACGGUUCCCCGAGGACGAGGGCCUACGCCGACCAAAGCAAUCAAGCUAAUCGAGAAGACUCACUGGACCAGCUGGAAGAGGCCCGAGACAUGGCCUUACUACACUCGGCGCGGUACCAGCAGUCCCUGCGACGCUACCACGCCCGAGGGGUUCGGUCCCGAGACCUCCAGGUGGGCGACCUGGUGCUUCAGCUGCGACAAGACGCCCGAGGGCGGCACAAGCUCAUGCCUCCCUGGGAAGGGUCGUCCGUCAUCGCCAAAGUUCUGAAGCCCGGAACAUACAAGCUGGCCAACAGUCAAGGCGAGGUCUACAGCAACGCUUGGAACAUCCAACAGCUACGUCGCUUCUACCCUUAAGAUGCUUUCAAGUUGUUCGUAUGCCUCGUUCCCACGCAAAGUUUAGUCAUCAAGUAAGGGUUAGCCUUGCCUCGGCAAAGCCCGACCCUCCCUCAGGGGCUAAAAGGGGGGAACCCCCUCUGCGUCGAAAUUUUCCUCGAAAAAAGAUCCUUUCUGCCAGAAUGUCUUUCGUGCUUUUUCGACUACUUCAAAAGUGGAUCCUGAAAACGACGGAGUACACGUAAGCAGCCAAGGCUGACCGAGCCGAGGGACUCCUACGCCUCCGGGAUACGGAUACCUCACUCAUCACCUUCUGUGAUAAGUAACUCGCGUUCGGAUAAGUGAUUUCGCGGACCGAACAAGUCUUCACGCUCGAAAGCUCCUCUGCCGAAGCGAUUCUUCGAGCCUUCUCGACUGUGUCGGUGACAGAACCUUAUGGACGGGCAAGAGUACGCGUAAGCGGCAAGGCCGACCGAGCCGAGGGAUCCCUACGCCUCUAGGAUACGGAUACCUCACUCAUCGCCUUCCGUGAAAAGCAACUCUCGCACGCACAGACAAUCCUGUUACCGACGAAAAAGUCCAGAUACUCGAAACAAGAGGAAAAGAAACGCAGCUUUACAACACGACGAUGGUGUGUUUGGGCCUCGGCGGCCGCAGAAAACAUACACGCACUACAAGAUAAUCCGAUCCUGCAGGCUCGGAUCUUGAUAGUUGAAGGGAGCAGCAGCACCCUUGGCGUCAACUACACCUUCAGCGAGGUCCGACCUAGCCUCGGACGGCGAAGCAGUUGAAGAAUCUCCACUCUGAAGGACGGCAUCAUCACCACGCCUGGGCCAUCGCCACCAGGGUCUUCUCCAGGAAUCCGGCUCGAGCAGACGGCUCGGCCGGUCACCCCGAGGCCUCGGCCAGCUGUCCCCCGAAGACAUCAGCCCGGCCCGAGGCCUCGGCAACUCAAUUCCGGCAUCGGUCCCGCCAGUAGACAACUCGGCCAGGCUCUGGCCGACCAAGUCUUCUUUUCGAGCCAACUCUGCCUCUAUCUGUGCUGACACCGCUACCCCUGGCUUCGGCUCAUCGAAGAGCGGCCGAGGGGUUCCUUUAACUAAGCAAGAGAAGCCUCGGACAGCAAGGCCGACCGAGCCGAGGGACUCCUACGCCUCCGGGAUACGGAUACCUCACUCAUCACCUUUGCACGGGGCGGCUCACGCUUGGUGAAGCGAUUCUGUUAGACGACAGACGAGUCUUAGUGCUCGAAAUGAGGAAAAAACACGGCUCCGUGCCGAAAAUACACACAUGUUCAGGCCCCGACAGCCACAAUGAACAAAAAAACCGGCAUUCAAGGUGCCAUUACAAACGGAACUUUGGUUCCGUCUCCGCCGUUACGAACAACCCCACACGAUUGGGGGGGCCUGCGGAGCAACAGAAGACCAACGAACGGCUCGCCGUCGCCCGCUCCAGCAGCGGCGACGACGACGACUUCUGCUCCGGGGGGCCGAACAGCAGCAGCGAUGACCUCAGGGUGGAUGCUGCUGCCAUAAGGCCCUCGCCCAUGCCCUCACUCGAGAGGCAAGGACGGGCAAAAGGCCGUGGAGUUGGAGGUCAGCCCGUGGGCGGCACCGGCUAUCUCGUCGGCGGAGGAACCUCUUCCAGCUGCCGUGGCGGAAGGCGGCACCGGGAGCGGCUCCGAAGCCACUCGGGUCAGAGAGCCAGGCACGCGGCAGCUGCCAGCGCCACGAACGGCGAACACCCUUCCCCCCGAUCACUGAGGGAAGGAGCGGGCCGCCGCCCGCGCAGGGACCGACCCCAACUCAGCACACUCCCCUCCCCAGCACUGAUGAUGAAAAUCCUUGAAGCUGAGGGAGGGGCAGAGGCCGCAGCCCGGCUUGCUUUUCCCCGCCAUCGAACUGGAGGUCACCGUCUUGGGUGACCGCCGGCGAGGGGGUGCAGCCGGGCUGCAUGAUGAAAAUCCUUGAAGCCGAACGAUGGCUGAAAGGUACCAACUUCCACGGAGUUGCGUUUCUCCAACGACAAGGCAGAAGGAUUGCGGGUGUCCCCCAUCCGGGGGCUCGGAAGGUGGAAAGACACGAUGCAUAAGGGAGCGAGAAGACAUGGUCGCCUUUCAAGGGGGUCACCCUCCUUUUAAAGGCGACUCUCCCUACUUGCGUCCCCAGCCGUCGUGGGCUGAGUCUUCUCCAACACGCUCCAAGGUCCUCCCCCUAUGGCGCGGGGGCUGGGUCCCACGCGUCAUGCAAGCUGGCCCAGAGCGGAAGAAGCCAAACCGCCGUGCGCGGUGCAUGUAACUACCCAGCGGUUACGAGCAUUCCUCCACUUUCGCCCAGACCAGCGGGUGAAAGGGCGGGCAACCAUGCAGACGGCAUGCAACCGCGCCAAGUGGGCGCACCCCUCCGACUUCCAACGCACCCAGCAUGGAGGCCCAGGCCCACGCGUCGUGCAACCGACGCGCCGGUUGCUACGUGCGAGCAACUGCACCGCCACUCGCACCGCUACCACGCCUCCUCGACUGCGGAACCAGUACCGCGACUCAAGGCAACCCUGCGUACGACCCAGUAGUGCCAGCCUGGCGCGACGGUCAAUACGGCCAAAAAUGGGCCGGCACUAAUGGCGGUAGCAGGCGGGCAGGAGCAGCGGUCACGUCGUCAGCCAAGCUUACGUCCCAUCCAGGGGCAGCGAGAGAACCCUCUCUCACGGCGUGAAGACGGCGCGCCCGUGUUCCGUUCCUCGAACGGCUCACGCACGCGCAACGGCCACCUCGCGAACCACUCGCCCCGUCGCAUUAACUCCGCGGCGGGACAGGCGGCGCCUCUGGCAGGAGAAGCGAGCGACGCUUCGCCUUCGCCAUAAUGACCGCGUCAGAAAGGGAACGCCACGUCAUUUGAUUUCGUAUCCUUUUCCUUUUCCUCUUUCUCUCUCUUACAACAGGGACCAGUAAAGGGGGAUACCCCGAAAAGGAUCCUUCUCCGUGAAGGAAACAACCCCCAGCCUCACUACUGAUCAGAGGUUCGAAGGCUGGCCCCUCGGAGGGGUUCAACAGCCGCCUCAGAGCGCUUGGGUUCUGCGCCCACUACUGGUCAGAGGUUCGAAGGUCGGCCCCUCGGAAGGGUUCAAUGGCCGCCUCAGGCUACUCGGGCUCCGCGCCCACUACUGAUCAGGGGUUCGUAGGAUGGCCCUCGAAGGGUUCACAGUCGCCUCAGACACAGAGCGAGGGAUGACCCUAGGUACGUUCGAUACAUAACCAAGGCUCGGGCUACGCUCCCGAGGUACCCUAGGACAUUUCCGAGACCAGCAGGAACGAUCUUGUAACGGAAUCCCAUCAGAGGGAGGCAUCGAGCCCUCGGACCCCGUCGAAAGGGGACCGGGUCCGGCAGAUCACCCGCAGGUACUUUUGAGCGCGCCUCCGGGCCUCUAGCUGACCCCUAACAAAUGGGGCACGGGCGUCCACUCGGAUUACCCGCCAGCAGCUCACCGGAGACACCAUGUUCGGCGCCCUCCGAGGGCAACAUGGCACUUCCCCCCCUCCUCCUUGCGGAAAGGCGACGCAGGGGCGUAUGUAAAAAAGUCGAGUCUGCCCUUGACCGUCCUCUUGCCCUGUGCAGAGGCUCGGGGGCUGCUCUCGCAAACCCGGCUCCGGCCGAACCGUUGACAGCGUCAAAAUACCAGCCCGAGAACUUGGGACCCGACCGUGCACCUGGGCUACGGCCAGCUCGCAUGAGGGAACGACCAGACCAGCCGAAGCAUUGCGCGAGGCAUUAAGACCUCGGAGGAGUCAAACCACUCCUCCGAGGCCUCGGGGGCUACACCCGGCGGGUGCGCUCGCGCGCACCCACCGGAACAAAACGCAACCGAGAAAGGCUGGUCCCCUUGCAAAAAAGUGCGACAAAAGCCUCCAAGCGAGUAUUAACACUCCCUUCGAGGCUCGGGGGCUACUGUCGGGGACCAUAAUUAGGGGUACCCUCAAGGCUCCUAAAUCUCAGCUGGUAACCCCCAUCAGCACAAAGCUGCAAAGGCCUGAUGGGUGCGACUAAGUCAAGGAUCGGUCCAUUCGAGGGACGCGAUCACGCCUCGCCCGAGCCCAGCCUCGGGCAAGGGCAGCCGACCCCGGAGGAUAUACGUCUCGCCCGAGGCCCCCCUCCAGAAACGGACACGCCUUCGGCUCGCCCAAGGCCCAGUCUUCACCGAGAAGCAACCUAGGCCAAAUCGCCACGCCAACCGACCAAAUCGCAGGGGCAUUUAAUGCAAAGGUGGUCUGACACCUUUAUCCUGACGCACGCCCUCCAGUCGACAGAGCCGAAGUGACCGCAGUCACUUCGCCGCUCCACUGACCGGCCUGACAAGAAGAUAGCGCUGCCUGCGCCGCACCGACUGCUGAGCCACUCGACAGAGUGAGGCUGACAGCAGCCAAGUCCAACCCUAGGCGCCAUGGGAAACUCCGCUUUGCCCGACCCCAGGGCUCGGACUCGGGCUCAGCCCCGGAAGACGACGAACUCCGCUCCGCCCGACCCCAGGGCUCGGACUCGGGCUCAGCCCCGGAAGACGACGAACUCCGCUCCGCCCGACCCCAGGGCUCGGACUCGGGUUCAGCCCCGGAAGACGAUGAACUCCGCUUCGCCCGACCCCAGGGCUCGGACUCAGGCUCAGCCCCGGAAGACGACGAACUCCGCUUCGCCCGACCCCAGGGCUCGGACUCAGCCCUGGCCUCAGCCGACGGUCUCCGCCUCGCCCGACCCGGGGGCUCGGACUCGACCUCGGCCUCGAAAGACAGACUCGACCUCGACCUCGGAGGAGCCUCCACAUCGCCCAACCCAGGGCACGGGCCGACCACGUCAACAGGAGGCGCCAUCAUUACCCUACCCCAAGCUGACUCAUGCUACGGGGAACAAGACCGGCGUCCCAUCUGGCUCGCUCCGCUAGAGAAGUAAUGAUGGCGCCCCGCAUGCUCUAUGACGACGGCGGCUCUCAGCCCCCUUACGGAAGCAAGAGUACAUCAGCAAGGACUCGACAGCCCCGACAGCUGUCCUUCCGCCAGGCUCCAGCGCUCCUCCGACGGCCACGACACCACACGAACCGGGUGCCAAAACCUCUCCGGCUGCCACGAUGGCAUGUACUUAGGGCGCUAGCUCUCCUCCGCUAGACACGUUAGCACACUGCUACACCCCCCAUUGUACACCUGGAUCCUCUCCUUGCGCCUAUAAAAGGAAGGACCAGGGCCCUCUUAUAGAGGGUUGGCCGCGCGGGGAAGGACGGGACGGUGCUCGCGUGAGCCCGCUCGCUCCCUCCCGCGUGGACGCUUGUAACCCCCUACUGCAAGCGCACCCGACCUGGGCGCGGGACAAACACGAAGGUCGCGGGAUUCCACCUCUCACGCCCGUCUCCCUCUGGCUGCCUCCCCCCUUCGCGCUCCGUCUCGCGCCGAUCCAUCUGGGCUGGGGCACGCGGCGACAAUUUACUCGUCCAGGGAUUAAGUUUAAGCCGACAAUCAUGUUCAUUGAUUAAGUUUAAGCAAUAGCAUAAGCUAACCAUGAUUAACCCAAAAAGGUAAACAAGGGUAAGGGAAAUACAAUCUAGUCAAUCCUUAAGUUUCAGUAAUGUAAUGCGGGACAAUGAAUUAUAAAGUAUAGUAGGACAUAGUAGGUCUGAGGACACUUGCCUUCACCAGGUUGUUGCUCAGGGAGGUCUCCAACAACACACUCAGGAACCUCGGACUGCUCAUUGUCUAAGUAAAGCGAGCAUACAUUCAAUACAUUUGGAAAAGUAUAAAUAAACAGCACAUCAAACAUUUACAAUCAUUAACACAUAACUCAAAAAGGUAUAGUAUUAAGUGUAGGGGAAUGAUAUCAAGUUACAAAGAAAAUUGAGUAAUCCUAAUUGGGGAAUUGAUUACUCUCUAAAUGUUUGGGACAUAGCUCAAAAAGGCUAAGUAGUGAUUAAAAUAAAGGAAAGUUAGAAUUAUAAUAUAAACUACUCUCAUUUAGGAAUUUUACUACCUUUUAGGUAUUAUCCAUAAUUACAUUCCUAAUUUUGUUUAUGUUAUUAAGGCCUAAAGGUUAAGUCCAAAAAUAAAUCCAAGUGAUGCAUAACACUAAUCUCACAAGAUUGAAUGUACUUUAUUCCUAGGGUUCUUCUUUUAUUUAUUUCAUUAAAUAAAUAAAUAUAUACUUUAAUUCUAUAUUCCAAGUGUAAAAAUUAAAGUAUGCAGAUUAUAGUUGACUAUACUUUAUUUGAAUAGAGAAUAAUCUUGUGAACAUAUUGCAAUUUGAGCAACUAAAUUUGGAGUUCAUAUGAAAAAGAUAUGAAAUAAACAAGUUUUGAAGUUUGAAAUAUGGAAUUAAGGCUAAAUCUGUAAUUAAAGAAAAGUCCAGGGGCUAUUCUAAAGAAACCAGGGACCUACGCGCUAAAAGAGAGGACAAUGGGUUAAUUUCCUAAAACCAGGGGGGUUCUUAAGCAAAACGACCAUGCGAAAGGGUACGGGGUAAUCUCAGCCAUCGGAUCAGAAACCGACGACCCAGAUUAGAUCGCGCGGGCGUGCAGACGCUAUUGACAAGUGGGGCCAGGGCGUCAGCGAGCCAGGGUGGGCUGACCAGCCAGGCCUAGGGACAGAGACGCGGGUGAGGGGGAGAGAGGAGAGACUGCUGGAUCUGGAUCGGACGGCUACGAUUAGAUCCGCUCGGGUUAGCUCUGCACUAUCCGAUCUCGGGCGAACGGUCGAGAUCUAACGGCAGAGGGCGGACUUGGGCGCGGUGGCACCGCUCGGUCCCGCGGAGGGAACUCGCCGAAGACGAGCAGACCGGCCACGGCGGGGCACCAGAGGCUUGGGGGUUGGCCUAGGCGCGCACAGGGGGAUCUAGCGGACUCAGCCGAGGGCACCACGCCGGCACGGGUGCACCGGAGGGCGCUGCACACGGCGAGGCAGGUUAACGGCGGCGCGGGGCAACUCCGGUGAGCAAUUGCAUGUUAACCAGAGCAGUACACAGGGAAAUAGGGGUGCGGGGAGGUUGCUCACCUUGAGGAGAAGCACUGGAGGCAUGGGGCAACAACGGAGGUACAGGGACUCGACGGGGCGACGAUGGCAGAGCUCCGGCUGCACAAGGACCACUCCGGUGAGCGCGGACCAGACAGACCAGAGAGGGGGAGGGCACACCGAAGGGUGUCCCGAGUAGCUGACGGCAAGGCAAAGCUUAUCGUGGCACUUGACGGGGCACGGGCACAACGGUGGCCACGGAACAGACGGUGGACGUCGGCGGGCGGUGGCGGAGGUUCUCGGUUCACGUGGGCAGAGCGAGAGAGAGGGCAAGAGCUGGGUAGAGGGCGCAAAUGGAAGAGGGGAGGUGAGCGAGCAGGGCGCGAGGUUCAAAAGGGGCGCGAGGGCUCGGUCGUGGCCGGAGAACGCGCGGACGUGGGCGCGUCAACGACGGGGAGAUCGUGGGCGGGAGGUUGAGGACGGCUGACAAGUGGGGACGGCGGGACAGAGAGAGGGAGAGAGCGGGCGCGGCCGAGAACAACGGCGCCGAUAGGGUUGGCCCACGGGACACAGAGAGAGGGAGAGAGGGGGCGCUCAGGGUUGCACCGACAGGCGGGACCCGCCUGUCAGGCAGAGGGGGCGCGCGGACUGGGCUAAGUGGGCUGCCUUUGGCCGAAUUCGGUUUUCCAUUUUCCAGGGAAUUUCUAAUUGCUUUUCUAUUUAUUUUCUCUAGGGUUUUCAGUUCAAAUCCAAAUCAAGUUUCAAAUUCAAACCAAAUCAAAUAUGUGCAACAAUUCAAAUAAUAUUUAGGCUCAAUAUGAUGAAACAUUCCAUGACUCAUAUGUUUUGGGCAAAAUAAAAUAAAUAAUCCCUCACUAAUACAACUAACUCUAAUUAAAAGAGAGAGAAAAAACUAGAGAGAGAGGGAAACUAAACUGAGAUAGAGAAGAGUAACACCUGAAUUUGGAUGAUCAUAAGAAAGAAAUUUUAUACCCCCAAAUUCAGGAUGUUACAGACCUAUCUCCCUUAAAAGAAUCUCGCCCUCAAGAUUCAGGGCUGGCUAGCAAAGAGUUCAGGGUACUUGGCUCUCAGAUCAUCUUCUCUUUCCCAGGUUGCUUCUUCUUCUGAGUAAUGGCCCCAUUUGACUUUGCACAUUCUGAUGGUGUUCCUCCCAGUGACUCGAUCUGUUGUCUCCAGAAUUUGUGUUGGCUUCUCAACGUAUGUCAGAUCCUCUUGAACUUCAAGGUCUUCCAUUGGCAACUGCUCUUCUGGUACUCGCAAGCAUUUCUUUAACUGAGACACGUGGAACACAUCAUGCACUACGGACAAGUUCUCUGGUAAGCUGAGUUGAUAAGCCACUUAUCCACGUCUGGCUUGAAUCUCAUACGGGCCGAUAUAGCGAGGUGCUAACUUGCCUUUGACUCCAAACCUCUUGGUUCCUCAGAUGGGCGACACUUUCAAGUAGACAUAGUCUCCCACUUCAAAACUGAGUUCUCUUCUUCUUGUAUCGGCAUAGCUUCGCUGUCUGGACUACGCUGCCUUCAGAUUUUCCCGAACCAUCCUGAUAUUCUCUUCGGCUUCAAGCAAAAUCUAUGGGACGAAUACCUGUCUUUUGCCGGGUUGGUCCCAAUGCAAUGGAGUUCUGCAAUUCCUCCCAUAAAGUGCUUCGAAUGGUGACAUCUUCAGACUGGCUUGAUAGCUAUUAUUGUAGGAGAAUUCUGCAUACGGUAGCCUCUUGUCCCAACCUAACUGGUCUUGCAAAGCACAAGCUCUCAACAUAUCCUCAAGAAUCUGGUUGAUUCUCUCAGUCUGGCCAUCUGUCUGCGGGUGAUAAGCUGAACUGAAUUUCAAGUGUGUACCCAAAGCUUCGUGUAGCUGCAGCCAAAAGUGAGAAGUAAACUAGGUGCCUCUAUCUGAUAUUAUCUUCUUUGGAAUACCAUGCAAGCACACAAUCCGAGACAUGUACAACUCUGCCAACACUGCGUUGUUAUAGGUGGUCUUGACUGGUAUGAAAUGGGUCGCCUUUGUCAAACGGUCCACGACUACCCAGAUGGAGUCAUAACCAGCUCGAGUGCGGGGCAGACCAACUAUAAAGUCCAUCCCAAUCUCAUCCCAUUUCCACUGAGGAAUCUGUAAUGGCUGAAACGAACUUGCGGGUCUCUGAUGUUCAGCCUUGAUCCUCUGACAACUGUCGCAUCUGGCCACAUACUCUUCUAUCUCUCUUUUCAUACCAUACCACAAGAAUCUCUUCUUCAAGUCUUGGUACAUUUUCUCACUACCAGGGUGUAUAGAGUAUGUUGUCUCAUGAGCUUCCUUGAGAAUCAGUUCUCGAAUCGAGGUGAUGUUGGGAACGCACAUCCUAUCCUUGAACCAUACCACUCCUUCUGCAUCUUCACGGAAAUCUAGACCUUUCCCAUUGAUGAUCAGCUGCCGGAUCUCGUUGAUCUUCUCAUCAUCCUUCUGACCUUUUCUGAUGUCUUGCUCUAGAGUGGGCUCUAGCUCAAUUGUCACUCCUUGAGUGUUGUUCAGAAAUCCGAGACUCAACCUGUCGAAUACCUUUGCUAGCUCAAACGACAUCGGGUGAGCGGCCAACAUAUUGACUUGACUCUUCCUGCUCAAAGCAUCUACAACCACAUUUGCUUUGCCUAGGUGAUAAUGAAUCUCCAGUUCAUAGUCUUUGAUCAAUUCUAGCCAUCUUCGUUGCCUCAUGUUUAACUCUGACUGGGUGAAUAUGUACUUGAGGCUCUUGUGGUCUGUGUAGAUAUCACACUUCUGCCCAUAAAGAUAAUGUCUCCAGGUUUUUAGUGCAUGAACCACUGCUGCUAGUUCCAAGUCAUGAGUAGGAUAAUUCUUCUCAUGAACUUUCAAUUGUCAGGACGAGUAUGCCACUAUUUUCCCUUCCUGCAUCAACAAACAUCCUAGUCCGGUGUACGAAGCAUCACAGUAUACUGAGAAUGGCUUGUGAACAUCUGGUAGAACCAACACCGGUGUUGUUGUCAACUUUUGUUUCAACAUCUCAAAUGAUUCUUGGCACUCUGGGGUCCACUUGAACUCAAUCUUCUUUGCUAGCAGGGCUGUCAUAGGUUUGGCAAUCUUGGAGAAACCUUCAAUGAAACGUCGAUAAUAACCGGCCAUUCCAAUGAAACUCUUGAUUCCUCGGACAUCGUUUGGUGCUUUCCAGUCCAGAAUAGCUGCUACUUUCUUUGGAUCCACAGCUAGUCCAUCUCGGUCUAUUAUAUGACCCAAGAAUAGAACUUCGCUGAUCCAGAACUCACACUUGCUAAGCUUGGCAUACAACUGGCAAUCUCGUAGCCUUUGGAGUACCUUCCUCAAAUGUUCCUCAUGCUCUUGCUCAUUCUAGGAAUAUAUAAGAAUAUCAUCAAUGAACACCACUACGAACUUGUCGAGGUAGUCCAUGAACACACUAUUCAUCAGAUACAUGAAGUAAGCUGGCGCAUUCGUCAAUCCAAAUGACAUAACCAUGAACUCAUAUAGUCCAUACUUGGUGAUGAAUGUUGUCUUCGGUAUGUCUGAGGGUCGGAUUCUCAGCUAAUGGUAACCUGACCUCAUAUCUAUCUUUGAGAACACACUGGCUCCUCUCAACUGAUCAAAUAAGUCUUCAAUUCGAGGCAGGGGGUACUUAUUCUUGACAGUAACUUCAUUCAAAGCUCUGUAAUCAAUGCACAUCCUCUUCGUGCCAUCCUUCUUCUCCACAAAUAACACCGGGGCUGCCCAAGGUGAGGUACUUGGCCUGAUGUAACCUUUCUCUAACAACUCAUCAAUUUGCUUCUUGAGUUCCACCAACUCUGGUCCAGACACUCGAUAAUCUCUCUUGGAAAUAAGGGCGGUGCCUAGGAUAAGCUCUAUGGCAAAUUCAACUUUCCUUUCAGGUGGCAUGCUUGGUAACUCUUCAAGGAAUACAUCGGGGAAUUCUGACACAAUCCUAAUUGCUUCAAUUGGAUUGUACUCCUUGUCAUCUACUGAUAAAUGGUGACAGGCUCCUUCUUCUAGUUCAGGUAAGUAUAGCUUGGUUACUACCUCCUUUUCGGAUGGGGACACCAACUUAACUGUCCUCUUGUCACAACUAACAAUGGCUUGAUUUCUGUGUAGCUAAUUCAUCCCUAGGAUGACAUCUAACCAUUGAGUUCCCAUUACUACUAGGCUAGCGGGGAAGGCUAUCCCCCUUAUUUCAAUCCUUAGAUUCGGACAAAUCCUAUCAGAUUGAACUUUUCCCCCAACUGAAUUAACUCUCAAAGGUGGGAUCAUUGGUUCUAUGGAGAUGUUAUGUGAUUCUACCCAAGAUGUAGAAACAAAAGAAUGUGUGGUACCAGUAUCAAAUAAUACUUUUGCUGGGUAGGAUUCGACUAGAAACAUACCUACUGCCACAUCCUGAGCAUGCUGGAUUGCUUCAGCCUCCAGGUGGUUCACCUUUCCACGGUUGUAGGCCUGACCACAGACUCCUGGUGCUUGCUGUGGUGCUCCUUGUCUUGCUGGGGCAUUGACUGCUGGCGGUUGUUGGGCUGCUUUCUUUGGACAAUUCUUCGCCUAGUGAUUCUGUUCUCCACAGUAGAAGCAUGCAUGACCUCCUACUUGUGUUGGGGCUGCUUGGCCAUUCUAGUUGGUUGCUGGGGCAGGAAGACGAGUUGCCUGGUUGUUCUGAUGUUGGUACUGAUUUCUUCCCGGCUGGGCGUUCUGACGGUACUGCUGCUGAGGAAACUGCCUCUGGUACUGGUGCUGGUGCUGACGCUGAUGCUGGUGUUGGUAGCCUUGCUUGAAUUGUUGUGGCGAGUUGCCUGAGUAGCGGGGACGACUGCUACUCCCGGCCUGAGGUCCACCAAUCUUGUGCUUCCUAUCCUCCAUCUCCCGAUGCUUCCUUUCUAUCAUGAUUGCUAUGUCUAUCAAGUGCUAGAAGGUGGGGAAAGUGUGGUUCAUGAGCUAGUAAUGGAGGGGAUCAACCAAUCCUCUCAGAAAGCGGUACUGCCUCUUUGCAUCCGUGUUGACAUCUUCUGGGGCGUAACAUGACAGCUGCAGAAACUUAUCCCUAUACUCACUGACGGACAGGAGACCUUGCUUCAGGGCAAGAAACUCCUCCUUCCUCACUAUCAUCAGUCCCUCGGGCACAUGGUAGCGACAGAAGUUGUCCCUGAACUCCUCCCAAGUGAUGGCUCCAGGGUUGGCAUGGGUGGCGAGGUAAGACUCCCACCAAGACUGUGCUGCUCCCCUCAACUAUCGGGGACCAUACAACACCUUCUCACGGUCGUUGCACUGAGCAGUGUGCAACUCACACUCCACAGUACGCAGCCAAUCUUCCGCGUCCAUAGGGUCAGCGAAGUGGGCAAAGACAGGGGGAUGGCCCCUCAUCAAUUCUGUCUGCUUGUCUCUGGGCGCUUGUGGCAUCUGGACUUGCACUGGAGGCUGAUGUGGUGGUGGUUGCUGCUGAACCUGUUGCAUCGCUGCUAAUGUCUGACCAAUUGCCUGAACUGUCUGGGUCUGCAUCAAGAACAUCUGCUCAAUGGUCAUCGGAGGUGGCGGUGGCAAAUGCUACUGCGGAGCAGCCUCCUCCUAGGGUGACUGCUGCUCUGGCUGAGCACGCCUCGCACCUCUGCGCCUGUUCUUAGACAUCUGUAGAAAUUACACACAUAUCAGAUCUGACUCUGCAGUCUUUCAACAUAAGAAGAUAUAUACAGAAAUCUUCACAGCACUGAACAAUUGAUCAUCUUCACUGACAACUUCUCAGAUAAAGAGGAAAGUGGAAAUAAAUGGAUUACCCAACUAAAUAACUGACUUUAUUAAUAACUACACCAAGUUGCAGAAGAUACCCACCCCUUGGUGACAAUCAUUACAAAAAUCCAACUUCAUUACAUGUUCAUCAUGACAAGCAUCCAACAAAAGAUAAUCAAACUAACUCUAACUAAGACUGACUAGACUAAGACACUGAAGUAAGCAUUAUUACAGACUCCGACUCCAUGGAUCUAUGGAUCUAAAUCUAUGCAGGUCCUAUAGUCUGGGGUACCAUAGUCGAAGCGACCACGGGGCGGUGAACGGUAAGGGUGCUGAAUCCCAACAGGGGCGGGAGAACCACCAUCAAGAUAGUGGUGUGCCGCACAUUUAGCACGCAAUUCCGCAACCUCCGCCCGAACCUUGCCCAACUCUUCAAGGGUGUGGUCCAACUCUGUGUUGAGUACGGCGACCAAGUUGAUCAUGCUGCUCAGCCUUGGAUUGCCCUCACCAACUGGCGAGACAAUCACACCUCCAGCACUGUCGGUCGAACGGUGAGGGUAGUACUUCAGGUCAAGGCCAUCAGCUACCCCGCUGAACAACGAGCAAUACUGAGAAAGUGCCCGUCGUGUUGCAUCCUUCAUGGCUGCCUCGACUAUGUCCCUCUCAGUGAUAGAAUAGUGCUCUGAGAAGGCCUCUACACCCCAAAGAUCAUCGUCCGGACGGCGCACCAAGCAAGUAGCCUCCCACUGGUCUGGGUAUAGCCCGCGACGAUGCUGGUAGACUACACAACGGUACUCGAUAGACCAAGUGUGUCGGUCGAAGGCCCGACGUAAUAGGCUAUCGAGAGCAUUGUGGAAGUGACACCCGCGAGCAGCGUCACGAGUGAUGGGUCUACCUAUCCAUCCCUCUGGCUUCGGGUCCUCCAAGCGCUGCGUGUCGUGGCUCGAACUGCCACCGGCGUCGUCGUCGUCUCUGUCUCCGUCAAGGUCUCCUCUAGCAGCCGGGAUGCCCUAUGGUGGUGGAGGGGGCAUCUCUGGCUGAGGUGUAGGGGAAGGCUGUGUCUCAGACUCCACCUCCCGCUGAGGCAAGGGGGAAGAGUCCUGCUUCUCCUGCUCCUGGCGUCGGUGCUCCUGCUCCUCAUGCAGGCGACAAUGCAAUCUCUCCAGCUGGCUGGACUGACUUGACACCGUGCGACGCAGUGGACGCUCUGCCAGGUGAGAAGGCAAAAAGGGGAUCACAGACUUAUGUGCAGUGCACCUGAGACGAGCCAUCUACAAAAGACAUCGUAAGCACAAGAGUAAGAAUAGAACUAUGAGACCAGAAAGUAAACAGAAAGGAAAGUGAGACGAAACUUUUUGAGAUAAGUAAAUAACAUAGAGUUGGUCAAGAUGACCAACGUUUGAAAAAGACAUUAAGGUCAAGGUAAGAGUAGAGGUCUAUAGUCCUUAGGUCGACCAUUCUAGUCUAGGUUAGCGGUCCUACGGUCAGCAAGGCUUUGAUACCACUUAUGUCACACCCGGUUUUGGAAGGUAAACCGAAUGCGAACCAUGUGCGUGUCAGGAUCAGAACUCAUGUACACAACAAUUACAUAAUUGGACAUCAACACACAAUGCUUGAAUUAAAUUGCGGAAAGGUAAUUAGUUACAUCAAGACGUCUGAGACAUCCACAGAGUCUAAUACAUAUCCAUAGUGUUUAACAAUAACAUCAAAGUGCAGAGUAACAAAAUGUAGAAUGUAAGCCUACACAGGCAACUGACUGGGGGUUUGCCACUAAAGUAAACUAGAACUCAUCGUAGUCCUAGAACUCCUCAAAGUCAUCCAUGUUGCCAGCUUCACCUCCUGAGUACUGAGUACAGUGGGGACAACCUAGGGUGGGGUGGUUUGUAAAGCAAGGGUGAGUACACAUCAACGUACUCAGCAAAUGUCCCGUUUGGCUAAAGUGGACUAGCUGUAUGUGGAGUUUAAAGUUAAGCAGUUGCUUUUAGUUGGUCAAGUUUUUAUUACUAUAAGUAGAGCCAAGUUUUAGUAAUAACCCAGUUAUUACCCAGAGACACUCCCUCCAAGAGGAAAUACCAGAGAUCAGGAUUAUAAUCACCAUUGUUAAUCAUCAUCAUAAAAGUAACCAUUGUUCUUCUAGUCGAAGAGGAUCCCAAGGCUGCUCAUAACCGCGAGCACGACUGAUAUACUAGUUUCUAACACUCUGCAGAGGUUGCACACUUUACCCACAAGCUGUGAUUCCCAUUCUGCCCGGGGUUCUAGCCUCCCCAUUGAUCACUACCAAGGUGACCUAGCAGGGUCUCACUACGUAGCCUUUACCAAGAUUUCCCAGAGAUCAUAGCCGACCGUUAGGUUUCUCCAGUUUUAUAAACAUAGUACAUCUCCUCAGAGGAAGGGUGACUAACAAAACCAAAUCAACGAACCUCUGCAACCAGCCUCGGCAGAACAAGUAUUGUGCCCGAACCCCAUUGACGGCCUUACGGCGAAGCCAACUAUUCCUCUGGUUCCUCUAAUUAAUCAGCUAAGGGCAUCCCAUUCCACCCUCAUGGUUGCACUGUUAUCCCGGGUUGUCACUCCCCAAACAGGUCCUUACGAAGAGGCACUCGGGAAAGAGCCUAAGCCCCCUAAAGUAAUCACAAGGACCCCAUCGAUAAUGUAAUGCGGGACAAUGAGUUAUAAAGGUAAACAAGGGUAAGGGAAAUACAAACUAGUCAAUCCUUAAGUUUCAGUAAUGUAAUGCGGGACAGUGAAUUAUAAAGUAUAUUAGGACAUAGUAGGUCUGAGGACACUUGCCUUCACUAGGUUGUUGCUCACGGAGGUCUCCAACAACACACUCAGGAACCUCAGACUGCUCGUUGUCUAAGUAAAGCGAGCAUACAUUCAAUACAUUUGGAAAAGUAUAAAUGAACAACACAUCAAACAUUUACAAUCAUUGACACAUAACUCAAAAAGGUAUAGUAUUAAGUGUAGGGGAAUGAUAUCAAGUUACAAAGAAAAUGAAGUAAUCCUAAUUAGGGAAUUGAUUACUCUCUAAAUGUUUGGGACAUAGCUCAAAAAGGUUAAGUAGUGAUUAAAACAUAGGAAAGUUAGAAUUAUAAUAUAAACUACUCUCAUUUAGGAAUUUGACUACCUUUUAGGUAUUAUCCAUAAUUACAUUCCUAAUUCUGUUUAUGUUAUUAAGGCCUAAAGGUUAAGUCCAAAAAUAAAUCCAAGUGAUGCAUAACACUAAUCUCACAAGAUCGAAUGUACUUUAUUCCUAGGGUUCUUCUUUUAUUUAUUUCAUUAAAUAAAUAAAUAUAUACUUUAAUUCUAUAUUCCAAGUGUAAAAAUUAAAGUAUGCCAAUUACAGUUGACUAUAUUUUAUUUGAAUAGAGAAUAAUCUUGUGAUUAUUUUGCAAUUUGAACCACUAAAUUUGGAGUUCAUAUGAAAAAGGUAUGAAAUAAACAAGUUUUGAAGUUUGAAAUAUGAAAUUAAGGCUAAAUCUGUAAUUCAAUAAAAGUCCAGGGGCUAUUCUAAAGAAACCAGGGACCUACGCGCUAAAACAUAGGACGGCAGGUUGAUUUCCUAAAACUAGGGGGUUCUUAAGCAAAACGACCACGCGAAGGGGUACGGGGUAAUCUCAGCCAUCAGAUCAAAAACCGACGACCCAGAUUAGAUCGCGCGGACGCGACUGACAAACGGGGCUAGGGCGUCAGCGAGCUAGGGCGGGCUGACCAGCCGGGCCCAGGGGUAGAGACGCGGAAGAGGGAGAGAGGAGAGACGGCUGGAUCUGGAUCGGACGGCUACGAUUAGAUCCGCUCUCGGGCGAACGACCGAGAUCUAAUGGCAGGGGGGCGGACAUGGGCACGGUGGCGCCGCUCGGUCCCACGGUGGGAACUCGCCGAAGACGAGCAGAUCGGCCACGGCAGGGCACCAGAGGCUUGGGGGUUGGCCUAAGCGUGCACGGGGGGCCUGGCGGACUCAGCCGAGGGCACCACGUCGGCGCGGGAGCACUAGAGGGCGCUGCACACGGCGAGGCGAGCUAACGACGGCGCGGGGCAACUCCAGUGAGCAAUUGUGUGUUAACCAGUGCAGUACACAGGGAAAUAGGGGCGCGGGGAGGUUGCUCACCUUGAGGGGAAGCGCUGGAGGCACGGGGCAACGACGGAGGUACAGGGACGCGACGGUGGCGGAGCUCUAGCUGCGCAAUAACCACUCCAGUGAGCGCGGACCGGACAGACCAGAGAGGGGGAGGGCACACCGAAGGGUGUCCCGAGUAGCUGAUGGCAAGGCGAAGCUUGCUGUGGCACUGGACGGGGCACGGGCGCCACAGCGGCCACGGAACAGGCGGUGGACGUCGGCUGGCGGUGGUGGAGGUUCUCGGUUCGAGUGGGCAGAGCGAGAGAGAGGGCGAGAGAGCUGGGCAGAGGGCGCAAAUGGAAGAGGGGAGGUGGGCGAGUAGGGCGCGAGGUUCAAAAGGGGCGCGGGGGCUCGAUCGUGGCCGAAGAACGCGCGGACGUGGGCGCGUCCACGACGGGGAGAUCGUGGGCACGAGGUUGAGGAUGGCUGACAGGUGGGGAUGGCGGAACAGAGAGAGGGGGAGAGCGCGCACGGCCGAGAACAACGGCGCCAACAGGGUUGGCCCACGGGACAGAGAGAGAGGGAGAGAGGGGGCGCUCAGGGUUGCGCCGACAGGUGGGACCCGCCUGUCAGGCAGAGGGGGCGCGCGGGCACGGGCGCGCGCGCGGACUGGGCUAAGUGGGCUGCCUUGGGCCGAAUUCAGUUUUCCAUUUUCCAGGGAAUUUCUAAUUGCUUUUCUAUUUAUUUUCUCUAGGGUUUCCAAUUCAAAUUCAAAUCAAGUUUCAAAUUCAAACCAAAUCAAAUAUGUGCAACAAUUCAAAGAAUAUUUAGGCUCAAUAUGAUGCAACAUUCCAUGACUCAUAUGUUUUGGGCAAAAUAAAAUAAAUAAUCCCUCACUAAUACAACUAACUCUAAUUAAAAGAGAGAGAGAGAGGGAAACUAAAGUGAGAUAGAGAAGAGUAACACGUGAAUUUGGAUGGUCAUAAGAAAGAAAUUUUAUACCCCCAAAUUCAGUGUGUUACACAGGGUCUAUUAUGUCGUUUUACCUUACAAGUUUGCUAUAUACAAAGCAUAAAAAAUAAUAAUAUAUAUACAAAAAAUCUAAAUAUUGAUGAAAUUCCAUUUUUUGUGUUACUCCAUUUUUGUGUUACUUUAGUAGAUUUUACUCUGUUUAUCCUUUAGUUUAGUUCUGUUUGAUUUUUUGUAUUAUGUAAUGUAAAUAGAACAGAAUUUAUUGUGUAAAAUGGAAUUUCAAUAAAAUAAACAAGGAGUCUUUAUGUCCCGUUAUCGAGGGCCUCAUUCAAAAAAAUACGUCGUCUCGGAGCUUUACUAGGACUCACUAGAAAAACGUCUAAAUCCAUAAGUAAUCAGAAAAAGAAAUUCCAUUUUGGGAUAAAAGAACAAUAUCUUAUUUGUAUUCAAGAAAAACAGAAAUUGUGUUUUCAUUGUGGUCUGACAUAAUGACAAUUACUUAAAUAUGAACAUAUCGCUGGAGAAAAAAAAGAUCCACAUGUCAGGUUUUACUACAGUUACUUGAAAUGAGUUUGGAUAGUAUCCUUUUUUGAUUGGGUAUGGCUUCAACCAUUCCUGGGCCGGACAAUUAGUUAACCAUAGACAUAUUUUAGUUAAUGGUCAUAUAGUUGAUAUACCAAGCUUUUGUUGCAAAUCCCAAGAUAUUAUUACUACAAAGGACAACCAACGACCAAAACAUUUGGUUCAAAAUUAUAUUGCUUCAUUCGAUCCGGGCAAAUUACCAAAGCAUUUGACGGUCGACACAUUGCAAUAUAAAGGACUAGUAAAAACAUUCUAUAUAGGAAGUGGGUCGGUCUCAAAAUAAAUGAGUUGUUAGUUGUAGAAUAUUAUUCUCGUCAGACUUGAACUUAACGAAAAAAGGAAAGGUUCAUAGAAUUUUCCCCCUUCCCCUGAACUAAAUCGACCUAAGGCUCUUAAUUCGUAUUUUUCCCGUUCACCUAGCAGAAAUAGAUUAUCCCCAGUAUACUUUUUCUUUUUUUGUUAUUUCCUUGAUGUGUAUUUUACAUACCAUAGUAAUUUGCUAUAGAGAAUUUCUAUUAAUUAAAGGUAUUAUUAUUGGAAUAAAUUGUUAGUUAAUUUGACACAUUGUGAUCGCUAACAUUCAUGAAUUAAGAGAAACGGAAAGAGAGGGAUUCGAACCCUCGGUAAACAAAAGUCUACAUAACAGUUCCACUGCUACGCCUUCAACCGCUCGGCCAUCUCUCCUACAUAAUCUUAUUAUGGAAAAUCAAGUGAAUGAAUAGUGAGCUUUUGUAUUCCUGCAGUAUAGGUACAACCACAACGACUCGAGAAUUCCAUGGCUCUAUUGGAUUGGAUGGAAAAAUUCCUUUUCAUCUAAGUGGAAGAUCUUGUAUUUUUUUACUAGGAAUUAUGCUCCCUCAAAAAGUUAAAAACCAAAAUAAAAAGAGAAUGGAAGAAUUCUUAUGAUUCCAUAAGGACAUAAAGGAACCCUAUAAUUCCAUUUGCAUAAGGUACAUUACACCAUACAAUCUAAAUAAAAAAGCGGUAUGAGGCAAUUAAUGACUUUGAAAACGUGAAAUAGCUGAUGAGGGAAGUUGUUGUUGAGAAAUAGGAAAGUGGAAUGAUAUCCAGUCUUAAUCAAAAAAUUCAUAUCUCUUCUCUUAUUGUCCAAACAAAAGGAAAAGGAGACAAUUUGAACUGAGUGGAAAAUCCAUAUAUCUCUUAUCCAUUUAGAGCAUAUGGAUCGAUUAGUAAGAAUCAAAUGUUUUGUGUUUAUGUUAUUUUGUGAUAGAAUGAAAAUAAUUAUAUAUAGAAUGGGUUGGGAAUUAUGCCUAGAUCCCGCAUACAUGGAGAUUUCAUUGAUAAGACCUCCUCGAUUGUAGCCAAUAUUUUAUUAUAAAUAAUUUCGACAACCUCCAGGGAAAAAGCAUUUACUUAUUAUAGAGAUGGUGCAAUUUGACUCUUUUAGCCCUGCAUAUAUCUCAUUUUUACAAGAAAGAGAGAGGGUUUGCAUCGAGAGAACAAAAUUAGUAAAUGAAACCCACACUUGGGGAUGGUGAGGUGAACUAACAAUUCAUCCUGUCGUGUAUCCUCGAUUGAUGUGGCCUCAUAUGCUUCAAUUGUAGAUUUGAGUAUUAAGCGAAAGGUUACACCUACAUGAUAGGUUCUGUAUUAUAGGGCAAUCCGAUUCUACUAGUACUAAUAGGCACCAUAGGGGAGAAAAGCACUACACCUCGAAAUAGGAAUCAACAAGAGAAAAAACUUUGUUAGAAAUUAGCCCUUUCCUGAUUGGUAUCAGGGUUGGGAAGAAUGGUUGGGAUAAUAAACAACCAUCAUGUUUGUACUUCGGAUACCCUUAUAACCAUCAAAGGUCGUUGAAGUAGCUAAUUCCUCUAAAUAGGAGGCAUUGAGAACAAAGAGAUUCUUGGAGCUAUUGUUUUCCUCUAGCAUUAAUAUAAUUCAUUGGUGUUUCGAAAUACCUCUUGGGGAAGGUUGGCUAGAGAUUUCUUGGAAAAUACCACCCCCUUCGGUCAAUAAUGAGAUGGGACAAAUUCGAUUUUUAUUCUAUAGAUUUUUUGCUUAGUGCUAUGUAUAGAAUGGAGAAGCCGUAUGAGAUGAAAACCUCAUGUACGGUUUUGGAACAGAAAUUUUUUGAAUAGAAUGAAUGAUCGUAAUGGAUGUUGGCUCAAUCUGAAAGAAAUUAUGCAGAAGCUUUGCAGAAUUAUUAUGAAGCUACGCGACUAGAAAUUGAUCCCUAUGACUGGGCAUUUUGAACCCAAAAACCCGGACCCGAUCCGAACCGAACCCUAAUAGAUCGAAUUGUCGGUCUAUUCGGGUUUCAGAUUUUGGGUUCGAUCUACAAAAUAAUUUAAUUUGAUUAUUGGGUUCGGAUUUGGUUUCUGGCUCUUAAAACCCGAAGAGACCCAAAAACCGAAUAGCACCUGAACAUCUCGUCUAUUCGGCCAAGGCCACAUGGCCCAAGGAUAGCCCAAGGCCUGCUACACGCUAGCCUAGGAAAUUCACAUAACCUAGUUCCAGGCUUCUCCCCAAAUGUCUGUCGCCCGUCGGCCUCUAAUAUAUAUCAAUAUUGCCCUUCUUUUAUCUAUGCAAAACAAAAAAGAAUAGUAAUUAAUCCUAUAAAUCUACGCAGUUGCUCAAGAAUUCACUAUUCUUCUUAAUCAACGAUUUCUUAUAUAGAGAGAACGGCCCUUAGAAAUUGCAAAUAGUAAUUUGUUGAGAAUUAAUCGAAUUGAAGUCAUAGUGUCAUCGUUGGCAGGAAUCGAUAUAUUUACAAGAUCUGGGUCACAAUUUAUAUCGACUAAAGAAAUAGUAGGAAUCCCCAAAAUGGUACAUUCCUGAAGAGCUAUAUACUCUUUUUGUUGAUCAAGGGCGAUCACAAUGUCAGGCAACCUCGUCAUAUAUUUGAUCCCGCCGAGGUAUCUUUGCAAGGUAGAUAAUUUUCUCUUUAAGAUUGCCGCAUCUCUUUUUGGGCGAUGGUGGAAUUUUCCCAUUUUUUCUUCUGCUCUUAAGUCUCUAAAUUGAGAAAGUCUAUUUUGGCAUCAGAACCCAGUUCAUUACUCUUGAUGGAGAGGGAGGAUCCGCCUUUUUAGAUUUUUGCUAUUUAUUUUUCUAUCUAGGAUUAGAACCAUAUACUUGGUAAUAAUAGGAACGACACAUUAUGGCAAAAAAAGUUUGAUUCAGAGGGAGAAGAAGCGGCAGAAAUUAGAACAAAAAUAUCAUUUGAUUCGUCGAUCCUAAACAACAAAGAAGCAAAUUUUCCCCUUUGAGUUUGAGUGAAAAAACAAAAAUGCAAGAAAAACUGCAAUCCCUACCACGUAAUAGUGCACAUACACGCCUUCAUCGACAUUGUUUUUUAACCGGAAGACCUAGAGCUAACUAUCGAGACUUUGGGC
rnacentral:lncRNA from 1 species